AAAACCAAAGGUUGAAAGGGUGAAUAACUCAGCCAAAGCGGUAGAAGAGUAGAAAAUUAGUGAGUUUUUUGCCACGGAGAACAUUAGCGAGAAGGAUGAUGAUAAGCAAAAUCCAAAUAGUAAAGUUGAAGAAAGCAAGCAUAUGCCAGUGUUACCCUUUCAUCAGAAGAUGAAGCGGGAGAAAUUAGAUAGAUGCUUUGGGAAAUUCUUAGAGAUGCCAAAACAGUUGUAUGUUAACAUCCCGUUCACCGAGUAAAAGGAAAUUUGACAGAUGCCUGCAUAUGACAAAUUUCUGAAGGAAAUUCUUUCGAGUAAAAGGAAGCUAGAGGAAAUGACAGUGGUCAAACUCAAUGCACAUUGUAGUGCCAUCCUAUAGAAUACAAUUCCUUAAAAGUGUGGGGAUCCUGGCAGCUUCACGAUACCCUGCUCGUUGAGGAGUGAAAAUUUUGACAAAGCCUUGUGCGACUCUGGUGCAUCCAUUAACUUGAUGCCAUUGUCAGUUUUCAAGAAAUUUGAAGGAGAAAUAGGAGUGAUAAAAUCUGUGCCAGUGUCAUUGCAACUGACUGAUCAGACCACUAUUAUACGAGAGGGAAUAAUUGAGGAUAUUCUGGUGAGGGUGGACAAAUUUGUCUUCCAUCUAGACUUUAUUGUAGCAGACAUGGAAGUGAAUAAGGAGGUACCCCUAAUUUUGGGGAGACAACUCUUUUGCACUGGCCGAGCUAUUCUUGACAUAUAUGAGGGUCAGCUCAUGCGAAGAGUGGGAAACAAAAAGGUGAUUUUUCAACUUAAGAGAAUGAUGAAAUACCUGUGUGAUAAGGCGUCUGCCUAUGCAUGUUUCAAACUGGAUGUGGUAGGAAAGUUAGCUGAAUAACACAAACCGGACAAGUUGAUAGGUGAUUCAUUAGAAAGAUGCAUUACUCAAUCGAGAAGGAAAUGAUGAGGCAUUGAAGGAUGAAAACCAAGUGGUAGAUGAAGAUGAAUUUGAGAAGGAAAUGACUAAGCCAAAGCUGGAGUUGAAAGUACUUCCAACACAUUAAUAAUAUGCUUUUUUGGAGACUAACAAUUUUCUUGUGAUUGUUUUUGCUGAUUUGACAGGUGAAGAGGAACACAUGCUAGUGGAAUUAUUGCAGAAGCAUAAAAAACAAUCGACUGGAGCAUACCUGAUAUUUAAGGAAUUAGCCCGUAAUCUGCAUACAUAAGAUCUUGUUGGAAGAAGGUAGCAAAUCUGUAGUGCAGCCCCAUCGCAAACUGAAUAAAAAUAUAGAGGAAGUAGUGCAGAAAGAGAUACUCAAACUGCUGGAUGUCGGUAUAAUAUGUCCCAUCUCUGACAUCCCAUGGAUCAGCCCCGUACAGGUUGUGCCCAAAAAAGGGGGCAUAACGGUGGUGAAGAAUGAGGACAAUGAAUUAAUCCCUACUAGAAUUGUCACUGGUUAUAGGACGUGUAUAGACUACCGAAAGCUGAAUGAUGCAAUGAGGAAAGAUCACUUUCCUUUGACUUUCAUUGAUCACAUGCCGGAGAAGGUGGCAUGGCAUAGAUGCUAUUGUUUCUUAGAAGGUUAUUCAGGGUACAAUCAAAUACCUAUUGCUCCUGAAGAUGUUCAGAAAAUUGCAUUUACCUUCCCUUCAGGAAUUUUUGCAUACCGGAGAAUGCCUUUUGGACUUUGCAAUGUGCCAUCUACUUUUCAGAGGUGCAUGAUGUCAAUUUUUUCAGAUUUUAAUGGGAAAUGUAUGGAGGUAUUCAUGGAAGACUUGACUCUCUUUGAGUAUGACUUCAAGGAUUGUUUGAGGAAUUUUGAGCUUGUGCUGAAAUGAUGUGAAGACACUCACCUAGUACUCAACUGGGAAAAGUGUCACUUCAUGGUCAAGGAGGAAAUAGUUUUAGGCCACAAAGUCACAACUGACGACAUCGAAGUCGAUAGAGCUAAAGUAGAUAUGAUUUCUAAGCUCCCGCCACUAACUUUAAUGAAGAGCAUUAGUAGCCUUCUGGGGCAUGCACGAUCUUAUAGAAUGUUCAUCAAGAAUUUCUCCAGUAUCACCAAGCCCUUAACGGCAUUACUUGCCAAGGAUGUGAAGUUUGUGUUUGUUGUAGAGUGCCUCCGAGCAUUCGAGUUGAUCAAGGAAAAGAUAGUGAGUGCCCCCAUAAUGGUAACUCCUGAUUGGAAUGAACCUUUUGAGAUCAUGUGCGACGCCAGUGAUGUGGCAGUGGGGGAAGUGUUGGGGCAGAGAAGAGAUAAAAUAUUCAGACCCAUCUACUAUGUGAGCCAGACUUUGAAUGAUGCCCAGGUAAACUAUGCUACCACAGAGAAGGAGUUCUUUGCAGUGGUCUUUGCUUUUGAUAAGUUCAGAUCUUAUCUACUAGGGAGCAAAGUGAUAGUGCAUACUAACCACUCAACACUGAAAUAUCUGCUGAGCAAGAAAGAGUCAAAACCGCAUCUGAUGUGGUGGGUAUUGUUGCUGCAAGAGUUCGAUCUUGAAAUCAAGGACAUGAAGGGCACAAAAAACCAAGUGGCUGACCACCUGUCAUGAUUGGAUAAACCACUUGUUAAAACUGUGGAUAUUAAGGAAGAGUUCCCAGAUUAGCAGAAUUUUUCUAUUGCAGCGGUCUCUGAAAGACCGCCAUGGUAUGCUGAAAUAGCCAACUUUUUGGCUAGCGGGUGGCUACCGCAUGACUUGUCCUGUGAGCAAUAGAGGAACCUGCAAAGCGAGGUAAAAAGCUACUUCUGGAAUGACACCUUUUUAUUUAAAUUGUAUGUAGAUGGCAUAAUUCGGAGAUGUGUACCAUAAGGGGAAAUGGAAAGCAUACUAUCCCACUGUCGUGAUGGAGCAGCCGAGGGACAUUAUAGAGGAAAUAUGAUAGCAGCAAAAGUCAUGGAAGCCGGUUUCUACUGGUCGGCAUUGUACAAGGACGCAAGAGCUUACGUCGCAAAAUGUGACACGUCCCAACAGACAGGUAACAUUAGUAAGAGGGAUGAGAUGCCCCUGAAUUCCAUUCUAGUAUGUGACGUCUUUGAUGUUUAGGACAUCAAUUUUAUAGAUCCUUUCUCAUCGUCCCAUUCCUAUGAGUAUGUCCUAGUGACUGUUGACUACAUCUCCAAAUGCGUCGAGGCAAUCCCUACUAGGACAAACGAAACUCCGGUGGAAGAACAUAUUCACCCACUUUGGAACACCCCGAGUCAUCAUCGGUGAUAAUGGGUCACAUUUUGUCAAUAAACACUUUGUCAUACUACUGUCUAAAUAUGAGGUGACUCAUAAAACAUGAACCCCAUACCAUGGUCGAACUAGUGGGCAAGUGGAAGUAGCUAACCAUUACUCAAAUGCAUUUUAGAAAAAAGUGUUAGUGCUUCCAGAAAAGAUUGGUCAGUAAAGUUAGAUGAAUCUCUAUGGGCAUAUAGAACAACAUUCAAAAUAACCUUAGGGACUUCACCCUUCAAGCUGGUAUAUAGAAUGUCAUGUCACUUACUUGUCGAGAUAAAUUAUAAGGCUUAUUGGGAAAUUAAAUUGCUUAAUCUUGAUCUUUGUCUUGCAGGUGAACACUAAAUGUCACAGAUGAAUAAGAUAGAGAAAUUCAGAUUUGACACAUAUGAAAAUGCGCUAAUUGUCAAGGAAAAGACGAAGAAAUAGCAUGACCGUCUGAAUAAACCAAAAGAAUUCCGUGAAGGGGAAAAGGUCAUGCUAUACAAUAGACGAGACCGUAUGUGGUGAAACAUGUGUCACCAUAUGGGGCGAUUGAGAUCUAAAACAUUGAAGGAACUAAGAGUUUCAUGGUGAAUGAGCACAUAUUAAAACCGUAUCUUUUUGUAGGAUUUUCUAAGCAGUCCUCGAGCAUCAUAAUCAGUUGAAUGUGCCCGGCUGAGUCAAGCUGACGACUAUAACUCAGAACUACCUCUAACCUUUCUACUAGUUUGAUUUUUUAUCUCUUUAGUUAGGCUAGGCAAAUUAGUGUAUAAUGUGAGUUGGAUGUUGAAGGGAUGUAUAGGUUGUGGAACGGGAGAGUUGAGGUCUUCAACAGUCAUUUUGUGCACAUAUAGGUGCACUACAGCACACCUGGAGGGGUUCACCGCUGAUUUGAACGUGCACAAUUCAGCAUCAGCAUGUCUUGACAUGCGCGGCCACGCAUGAGGAACCCUGAGUGUGCAUCAAGGCACAGACAUCUAACAGUCGCACUGACAGACAUGCACGACAGCACACACACUAACUCGAACGCGCACCCGAUCACGCACCCAGGUAAGUUUUCCAACUCUUUCUUUUGACCUAUUCUUUAACCCACACUUUAAUUUUUUUCUCUUCUUUUCCCCUUUUCUUUCUUAUCUUACCACAUCAACCCUAACCCGAUUCGCUCCUGCUCUCUCUCUCGCCUAAACCCUACUGCUCAUCUCCCUCGCUCCCUCUCUCUCCCUCUUCCUCUACCCUGACCCACCUGGUGUAUCUUCCUCACUUGGAUUUUCAAGUAUGUACAUUAUUUUCUCUUUUUCAUUAUUUUCUCAUUUGCAUUAUUUUCUUUAGAAAAUUGGUGGUUCAAGGAGGGGGUGUCACAAAGGAUGAUGAAAUAUUAGGCUGCUAUGUAUAUGAAUUGGUUGUUAGUGUUGUCAACCUAGGGCCAAAGUUUUGCUUUUGAAGAAUAAUAGCAGUCAUGCAUGUGAAGUGUUUGAUUAAAUGUCACAAUGUGGAUUAGGUGGGUCUUGAGGUCUGUUUUAGCAACUGUUGAUAAAGUUAUCAUUGGGAAGGAACCCGUUGUUAUUGCUGAAGGUGAGAGUAAGGAGCCAGAUGCACCCGUGGAGGGAUGGGAGGUGCAAGGGGAAGAUGUUGGUGCUACUGCCCCACGUGAGCAGGUUGUCGGAGAACCUUAAGGCAGUUUGUGGGAAACAAGGAUGGUUGCUUUGGAACAUCAGAUGGCUGGAAUGCACACAUCUGUUGACAAUUUGGGCACUGAAGUGGAGUCACUUGCUGGGCAAAAUGCAAAGUUCGAGAAAAAAGAUCAUGGCAGGGCUGCGUGCACUCGACCGAGCUUGUCACAUAUAUCCCGGCACCCUCUUCGAUACAGAUUGACCCAGUCAGGGGAGUUUCCUUCAUCUUUCCUUUUUAAUUUUGUGACAUGAGGACAUGCCACUAGUUAAGUGUGGGGGUGGGGGUUAUAAAAAGUUAGUGUUAAUUGCUUUCCAAUUGAAAAAACAAAAAAAAAAGAAAAAGAAACAAAAACCCCAAAAAAUAUUCUUAUCUUUUUAGGAUAACUUCUUAACUUGUACUUCCAUGAGUUUCUUGUUUGGUUCUUUACCAUGGUCAUAAUAUUUUGAACCAAAUACUUUCUAAAGUAGAUUUUUAUUUUUGUAGAUAAGUUUUUGAAAAGUUGCUGGUGGUUAGAAAAAUUGAUUGUGCCUGACUUGUGGAAUGCAUGAUCCUCUCCUUGUAAGUCAGGGAGACAAAUGAUGACCAUGGUCUGAAUUGAGUGCCUAUCAAAAAUACUGUGUGUGGUGCUAUGAAUGCUUGCUUAGUAAUCAUGCCCGACAGGGUCUAAAACUUGGCUUGGUUGUGACUCAAGGAAAAAUCAUAGUGAAUAGUUGAGUUUGGAGAUGAUCGUAGGCCUUCUUUAAUAGCCCUUUUCUGCUGCUUUGAUCCCUCCAAAGAAUUGAAAAAGUUAUCCCUAGUUAGCCCAGUUGAGCCUAUUUCCCUCUUUCUUUGGCAACCACAUUACAAGUUGAACUCAUAGCCGUCCCUAAGCACUUGAAUACCUUGUGCGUGAUUCUAAAAUAUGAAAAGCUUUAAGUGUUGGGGUGGGGGUUGGUUUUUAGUGGAAUCAAUGAGAAGUGGAAAAAGGUGCACCAUCUUGAAUGUGUGUGAGGUACAUGUGUAGGGGAUUGCUGGAAAAAAGAGGAAAAAAAAAGAAAAGAAAAAAGAAAAAAAAGAGAGGUAAUACUCUCAUGUUGUGCAAAGUGAAAAUUCCUCUAUUGUUGAUAAAUCCCUAUUAUGCUGUACUCAAAGAAAUGGGAAAUGGGUGCUAUUUUGAAGGGCAAUUGUCACCGUAAAAGGUGUAGGUCACGUAUGAAAUUGUAGGCGUUAAAGUUAUUAGCAAGGUGUAGAUACUCUUAUCCAAAUUAUAUCCAACCCGUCCCAUAGCCAACUUACAACCAAAUGCAAAGCCCUACAUGAUCUAGACGGAAUUGUUCCUACAUUAGUGGAGAGUCACAUGAUGGCCAAGCUUAUGGUACUCUUAAAGGCAUGAUUCACUUCUUUUGCGAGGGUGAGCGAUUGUUGCUUUAUUUCCAUAUAAGUUUCUCAUAAUUAAUGUGUGAAUGGGCAUGUUCCUUUCUUGUGAGGUGUAUAAAGGAUUUGGCGCCGAUUUGACCACGGCACUAGUGCGAUGUCAUGACCGGGGUUAAGGUUAAAUGUGACUAUAGGAUGGUAUCUAGUUUAUUGUUGCCAGCUGCUUGUCUAAGUGCAUUAGGAGUUAUUUACUUUUAAGAUUGCUCAGGACAAGAAAAAGCUAAUUAUGGGGGUGUUUGAUGAGCUUAAAAUUACUCGACAUUUAGACCCUCUCUAUGUCCUUGAUGUGGUUAAUUUGAUAGGGACUUAGCCUGAAUUAUGGUCUAAUAUGUUGCUUUUUGGUGCAGGUGGUGUAGAGAGGAUCAAUGGACAGACAAUACACGAAGUGGGAGGAAAACAAGCUAAGAGGGGAAGAAAAAGAGAUGCACGGCCGUGCACGAGGAGCCCCAAACGCGCACAUGAGCGUGCAUAUAUCACAAACAACCUGGACAAGAUGCGCGCCCAUGUACCCAGGUGCGUGGCAGCGUACGUCUGCCUCCAGGAAACAUUAGUCAAGCCUAUUUUUGUAAUUUUUGGGCAUUCCCCUUUAACCUAUAUGAAGCCUAAGCUCGUCUUACACUAGGUAUCUUGGAUUUUGGGAGCAAUGUUUGGAGAGAAGAAGGCAAUGAAAUAACAGAAACUUUGAAUACUUCAUCCGAAUUAUUCAAUACAAAAGUUUGUUUGAAUUCGUGGGUUGUAAUAUUUUUUUGUCCUCUUAAUACUCUUAUGAUGAACAAUUUCUCCACUAUGGAGUGGUCUUUCUUACGGUUAUUGACAGAUGUUGUGACUUGAUUAUUAUUUGAGGGUUUGGUUUCUGUUAGUUGCUUGAAUUUGUUGAACAAGUUUCUAAUUGAAUUGCAAGGUUAUUUGUAGUUUUACUUUGAUCGGAAGAGAAGUGUUGCUGCAAUUAUCAUUGUGUUAUCUUGUUUUGGGUUAAUUUCACGAAUCUCAUCGGAAAUCGAAAGAGCUUGUAGAGUUAUCAAUUGACCCAAUUUUGAAGAAUAGUCGAGAGAUGUUCUUCGUAAGAUUAUUCAUUCAACAUGUUCUUGCAUAUGUUCAUAGCACUUAUCUUUAGGUUGAUUAAUGGAACUCUCAUUUAUUUGGAAGAAGAAUUUGAAUCCUUAAGAUAGCCUAAUCAUCUGUUGAAAUCGAAAGAGUCAAUACAACUUAAGAGUGAACUUAGCACAAAGAGAUAUCCUGAAUAAUAGUUGAGCACAUAUCUUGCCAAAGCCCUUAUUUCUCUCACUGUUAUUCAUUCAUUGCUACUUAGCUACCCAAUUUCCAUUAUUUGCUCAUAAUUGAUAAUCUUAGCUUUUACUCUUAGUUCAUUGAUAAUUCAAAAUCAAAGGUUUAUUUUCUUGAAUAGUGUUAAGUGAAGAUUUAUUUGAACAUUAUUUAAACUAGUACCUGUGGAGACGAUUUAAUACUAUAAUAUCUCUGACUAGCGAGCCUAAGUUUUAUACACUGGUUGUGCGCUCGUCAGCAAUGUGUCAACAAAGUCUUUCGUCCAGUCUACUAUGCUAGUAAGACUAUGAAUAGUGCCCAAGUUAAUUAUACCGUUACAGAAAAGAGCUAUUUGCCAUUGUGUUUGCUAUUGAGAAGUUCCACCCAUACUUGAUGGGUGUCAAAUUUAUUAUCUGCACAAAUCAUGCAACACUUUGUUAUCUUAUGAGCAAAAAGGAAUCUAAAGCUCGUUUGAUGAGAUAGGUUCUUUUAUUACAAGAGUUAGAUAUUGACAUCCAAGACAAGAAGGGAAGUGAAAAUCAAGAGGCAGACAACUUGUCUCGUUUGGAGGAGGAGGGGAGGCUACAUGAUGGCCUUGAAAUUAAUGACUCCCCGAUGAGCAACGUUUGGCACUUUCAAUGAAAGAGGUACCAUGGUUUGCGGAUUUGAAAAAUUUCCUUGUGAGUGGUAUUAUUUCGGAGGAGUUCUCUUCAAGCCAAAGAUAAAAGCUUAAGAGAGAUUGUCAAGACUACUAUUGGGAUUAACUAUUCCUUUACCGGAUUUUCACGGAUGGGGUGAUUAGAAGGUGUGUGCCGGAGGAGGAACAAAGUAAUAUUCUUGGGGCUUUCCAUUCUUCAUCGUAUGGUGGUCAUCAUGGUGGAGGAAGAACGGAGGCUAAAGUCCUUAGUUGUGGUUUCUAUUGGCCUACUCUCUACAAAGAUACAAAUGAGUUGGUAAAAAGAUGUGAUGAAUGCCAACGAGCUGGUGGAAUUUCAAAAGAAACAUGAUAUGCCCCUCACAAUCAUCUUGGAGAUUGAUAUCUUUGAUACUUGGGGUAUUGACUUUAUGGGCCCUUUCGUGAGUUCUAGUGGAAAUACCUACAUUUUUGUCAUGGUGGCUUAUGUGUCUAAAUGGGUUGAAGCCAUUGCUUUACCCAAUAAUGAGGCUAGAAGUGUGGUUACUUUCUUGAAGAGUCAUAUUUUUACAAGAUUUGGGACUCUGUGGGCAAUCAUAAGUGAUGGAGGGUCACAUUUUUGCAACAAGGUUUUUGACACUUUACCUGAAAAGUAUGGUGUUACUCACAAAGUGACAACUCCCUAUCAUCCACAAGCUAGUGGUCAUGUAGAAGUCUCAAACCGGGAGAUAAAGAGUAUUUUGUCCAAGACGGUGAAUGCAAAUCGGACGGUUUGGUAUAAUAAGCUUGAUGAUGGUCUACGGGAAUAUAGAACGGGCUUACAAAACACCUAUCGGAAUGUCUCCAUACCGAUUGGUGUUCGGAAAAACUUAUCAUCUUCCGGUGGAAUUAUAGCACAAAGCAAUGUGGGCCUUGAAGAAAUUGAAUCUUGAUAGGAAUGUAGUCGCUAACUAGAGGGUUGCACACUUGAAUGAAUUGGAUGAGUUCUGGUACCAUGCUUAUGAAAGUUUGUCAUUGUACAAAUAAAAGAUGAAAUAUCUUCAUAACAAGUAUAUCUGGAAUAAAGAGUUCAAGAUUAGAGAUCUAGUGUUGUUGUUCAACUCAAGGUUGAGAAUGUUUCCCAGGAAGCUCAAGUCAAAGUGGAGUGAUCUAUUUGAAAUUGUUGGUGUGACAUCCUUUGGUGCUUUGGACUUGAAAAAUAAGAACAAUGAAAUAUUUCUAGUCAAUAGUCACAGAGUAAAGCACUACUUGAGGAAAGUAGGUGAGAGCCACGUGGUGGAAGUUCUUUACUUCAAUUGAGGAUGUUAUGGCAUUGCGUUGUACCGUGACGUUAAAUAAGGUACUUCUUGGGAGGCAACCCAAGUUCUUUUCCUAGUCUUCUCUUUUAGUUAGAUGUUGUUUAUUGUUUUUAACUUGAUUUGAUGUGUGAUACAUGGAUUAGUGUCAGAAAUUGAAAUGAUGGCUGAAGCUGUGUCCGACAGGGAACAAUGUGGACCACACUUCUAUUAGUGCGGCCGCAGAAGAGGGAAUGUGGAUCGCAGAAUAUUUUGUGCGGCCGUAGAUUUUAUCUGUCGACCACAAUUACAAGGAUCGACUCAGGUACUUAAUUGAGAGUCCUCUGAAUUUUUCUCCCAACAGUGCGGAGUGAGUUUGCGGUCCCUCACAAAUUAUGCGGUCGCAAAAGAGAAUUAUCAAAGAAGUUACUGAAACUAAGUUGAAAACAAUACGGUCCGCACUCACUGCCCAGAUAACAAAGUGCGACCGCAUUCAAAAUUAUGCGGCCGCACUCACCCUCGUUUACCCUUACCUUCUGCUAAGUAUAAAUACCACAGUAACUUAACUUUUACCAUUUUCGCCAUUUUCAUUCACAAAUUGUCCCUCUAAGAAGUACCUGCUUGCUGGCACUUUGUGAUCACAAAUAACCUUUCACACUCAUUUGGAUGUUAUUACACUAGCACUAUCUAGUAUGCUUCACUUCAAUUUUGUUGUUUUUAUUUUUGAAUUCAUUUUGGCUUUUUAACUUCUUUUUAGGCCAUCUGUGAUUACAUCCCUUUAGUGUGUCUAUGUGGGGUAGUUUAACAUUGGGUUAUUGUCAAAGCAUGCUUAGAUUUGGUUGGGUUGUUGAUAAUCAUACCCUCACCAUGUUAUCCUGUGGAAUUGUACACAUGAUUGCAUAACCUAGGUAAAAAGACCGGUCACCUGUCACCGUUCUUAACUAUGCGGACCGCACUUGAAAUUGUGCGGUCCGCAAACUUCUGAUUUGGUAACUUGAGUGUUAGUUGAUUGUUCGGCCGCACUUUAUUUGUAUGGACUGCAGUUGAAAUUCCGUGGCCGUAAAAGGGAGGUCCGCACUGACAAUCAGAGAACUUCUUCUGUGAUGACUUGAGUACAUUUACUCAAGUGCAGACCGCAAAACUCAUUAUGUGGACCGCAAUUGGAGUUUUUUGGCCACAAUGAAGUGCGCACUGUCUAUCUUAGACCUCUCUUUGACGACUUGGCUCAACUACACUGAAGUGAGGCUGCACUUUUUCUUUACGGACCACACUUGAAAUUCUGCGGACAACACUUCACCAUCUGUCUACUGCAUGCUGCAAACUUGAAACUCUACUGCUUCUAUGGUGUCCUCUAAUGACUAACAUGACUCUUAACUGCUUUGCAACUUGUAUAUUAAGUGACAACUCUCUUUGCGCAUACACACACAAUGGUGCGAUCAAGAGAAUGAGGAGAGUCACUUAAAUGAAGGGGUGAACAAGGGAAAUGUAGAGGCAGAGAUGCCAUACAGUCGAGUGCAUAGAGGGCCAUUACAAAGAAAAUAAUCACAGGCCGGAAGAGAGGUAGAAGCCUCUCAAAGUCGAGUUCUUAUGCCCCAUCUAGGGAAGCCUCGGAAGGGAAUUUUGUGUCUCUAUCUGAAGAACACAACCCAGAACAAUCUAGGCAAUAGGGGUAGUCUGAGCCCUAAGUUGUUCCCUCCAUGUCUCACAGUACCUUCCAGGUCUUAGCUAACAUCAGUCAUGAGUCCAAUGCAGCUGCUCAGGACUCUAAUUCAGAUGAUGCCCCGAAUGACGGUAAAUGGGGAUUAAGUGCAAAAGCUGACAUAGCAAGAACUAAGAAGAAGGUGGUAUGGGAAGACCUAUUUUUGAGCUUACAAGCAUAUACAGACUUCUGAAUGUGGUGGAAGGAAAGGUCUCUUACCCUUGAGAGUCAAUUCCUCAUCAAGGAUUUAGACAAAUACAAUCCGGCAGUCUUGGAGUAGUUCACAAAGAGAAAGGGCUGGAUGCAAUUUACAGAAAAGCUGGUGGAUGUUAAGGAGCACCUUGUCUGGAAAUUCUACACCAAUAGGAGAACAUUGUAAAAGGGACAAAGGUCAGAAAAGUGCGCAACCUUAAAGUAAAAUUUGAUCAACGCACUUUGAAAAUAUUUCUCGGUCUUGAAGAUAUAGAGCCAAAGGAGUAUAUAGCUAAGUCGGUUGAGAAGGAGGUGGUUAGACUGUGGCUUGCUAAUAUUUUUGCACCUGGGCCUACUCCUCCUUGGAUAGGUGCCGGAGUGCCAAUCCUUCGCCAGACUCUGAGCUUUGAGGCAAAAGGGUGACAGACAUUUGUAUACACCAGACGUGACCCAUGCUAUUAUUGAGAACAACUUGCCAUUGGCAAGAGAAGUGCUGGUAGCUUCUAUCAUGGUCGGGUACUCAAUCAAUGUGGGUGCUUUGAUGUCGGUCAAUAUCUCUCUUAUUUCAUAGCAAGGAAACACUUCCUAUCUUUACCCUAGUACUAUUACUGAGUACUUAACUGACUCCAAGGUGGAGUCCAGGCCGUUUGAUAUGAAAGCCAAAUGGCCCAUUUGAUUUGUUCAAGUUGCAAGACCCGAGGAACCCAAAGAAGAGCACUCGACCUCCUACUUCUGCUGUCCAGUUUAAUGAGUCGGUAGUCGUAGCCUCGGGUCCCUUCGAGAUCCCUUCUAUUUUAGCUGAGCCUUCCACCAGUGCUAGAGCUGCUAUUCCUGAGCCAUCAUCCUCGGCCCCUACUCCAUUGCCUACUCUAGCUUCGAGACCGGUGCCUUUACCAACAUGCCCAUUGUCUUCUUUGUGGGUCUCCCAGACACUAGUGAGCCUUAACAACUAGAUGCAGACAACUACUUCAAAGCUAUCUGAAUCUCUAGUUCAGUUUGUAGGGCAUGCAUCGUCAUAGGCGGACACUUCUAAUGUUGACAUGAAGCUCACAAGGUCUUGGACAACCAGAAGGUGAUUAUGAAUACGCUAGUACAACAUGGUGCAGUGAUCAUGCGGUUGACCAAACAGGUGAAGAAGAUGAGAAAGACACAGGCCAAUAAGAAAUCAAUUGACUCACUCAGAGUUGAGGUGACUAGGAUAGCUGAGGUCGGUAACUUGCCUUUUUUACUUGCUACUAGGCCCCACCCAGCCCCACCCAGAUUAGCCUUCUCAAAAGGAUCCCAUUGCUUAGAUAGAGGAGCCUUGCAUCCAGCACUGUUGCUUUGGUGUGUGAUAUGUUUAGCUCUUAGUUAGCUCCCGCACAGGAUGAUGACACUAUUCAGUUAGCUCAGCUGGCCGGAACUGAUACUGCCGUGACACUGUGAUGACGGAGGACCCUUAGGGAGUUUCUUUGCCUCUCUCUGCUCUUUGAUCUUAUUUUUCUAAACAUUGGGGACAAUGCUUCUUUUUAUUUGGAGGGUGAAGGAUUCUAUAUUUAAUGAUUGACACAUUUGAUGACAUUAGGAUAUAAUAAUUAGAUGAUUUUAUUUUGUCUAUCUUUAGUAGUUUGUUACAUUUAUUAAUAUCUUUAAGUUUGAUUGUUUUGGUAGUUUAAUUGUUAUGUUUUCCUUCUUUUGUUAAUAAUAAGACUUUGAUUUUCUUAAUGUCGUGGUUCUUUCCAAAGGUGGUUUUUUGUGUGAACCAGGUGACUCUUCUCGAGGAUGGAUAGUGUGACAACGUUCUUAAGGGAAUGAGUGUGUUUCAUGUUUAGGUAAUAGUAGUAGUAAGUAGUAAUGACUCAAGAUUGCUAUGAGUCAUUUUUGAAAGAAGUAGCUCUAAUAAAAGUGACUUUGAGGUUCUUGAGUUGUCUUUGAUAAUCAUUAGGUGGUUGAGUGGACCAUAGUAACCUUUAACUUGACUGUGAUUGUUGUGAGUUUUUGUCUCUAUCCUUUUUUACGGUUUAGUUGUAUGAGAGGUAAGAUGAAAUUUUGUUGCUAGUCCAUGUACUUGAGUGAAUAGCCUAGAACUUGCUUCAAAUGUGCUUCAAGGUGAAAUUCUGAGUUUGCUUGGUUGGAAAGAUGAUUGUAGGCUUUCCUUGGAUUGUUUGAGCUUUCUAUUGCCACCCUAUGAUUGUUAUCCCUAGUUAACCCCUUUGAGCCUUUAGCCUUUCUCUAUUGAUAACCAUGCUAUAAGCCUUUACCCAUUUUGAACAUAAUCCUCUCUUGGCACUCGAACCUUCCUAAGUACUCAUUUGUAGUAAGUGGCUCAAAGCCUAAGUUUGGGGGGAAAGUUGACGAAUCUAAAAGAGGUAUCAAGGCAUUAAAAAGAGAGAAAAGAAAUGAUUUUCAAGAAAGAUAAAGAAAUAAAAGAAAGAACAAAAAGAAACAUAAAACGGGGACAAAAAUGAAGAUUGAUGAAAUUGAAGUGAGGUAAAUACCUCUAGUAUAAACAUCAAGGGAGAAAAUAAUGCAAUUGUCAAUAAAGAAUGAUGAAAAGUUUCUCUAGCCCCCAAGAAAAAGAAAUGCCUCUAAGGGUUUAGAAAAAUGUGAGCCAAGCAAUGAGAUAUGAAGAGAUUAAGGAAGGGUAUAACUACUUACAUCCCAUAUGGUAUCCUACCCCAAUCCAAAAUCCUUCAUCACAAUCCGAAAGAAGUCCUAUUUAAUUUCGAACCAAGUAAGCUUACACCAGUGAAGAUUUAUAUGAGAGGCAGGCCUAUGGUACUAGAAUCUUUGCUUGUCGCAUUCCUUUGUGAGAGAAGAGUGAAACCUUUAUGGAAAAUGGAAGGUAGAAGAGGAAGAGUUUGGAGUCCACCAUCAUUUACAUGAAAGAACAAGAGUCCUUGAUGAAUGUAGUCAAUUCUUGAAGCUUAAAUGUCACACUAGAGUUACAUACAAGUUGCACAUUUUUGAAACAUUUUACACCUUGUUUAGAAUGCAUGAGUAUUGUGGACAAUUAUUUGUCCCAAUUGAGUAUAAAUGACUUACAAUUGACUAUGUGAAAUAAACAUUCACUGAGGGAAAGAGGGAACUAAUAUAGGUUCUUAAGGAGAAUGAAAGACUUACGUUUGGGGGAGUUGAUAAGUGUGGAUUUUAAUCACUUAUUAGUACCUUCUUGGUUUAGUUUUUAGUCUGAAAGUACUGAUUUUUGUUUCCGAAUCUAAUGAAAAUGUGUGAAUUGCAGGUGUGCUGGAGAAUGUGAGCUCAACAAGAAAAUCUAACUCAAAGAGGAGAUAUUCCAACUCAGAACAAUCAAGAGGAGAAGUGUAAAGAAAAGUCCGGUUCGCAGAAUUCCAUCUGCGGCUGCAAAAGCACAUGUAGCCCGCAGAAAAUGAUAUACUGUCGCAAAGGAGAAACUGAAGCUUCAGGGAUAUCAGGCAGAAGUGCGAACCACAGGCCAAAACGUGCGGUCGCAGUUGAGGUUCGCACUGCUGAAAACUGAAAGAUUAGAGAGGUUGCAAUUGAAAAAGUCUGAAGCCUUCUCAAAGUGUGGUCCGCAACAAAUUUGUGCGGCCGCAAAAGCUUGGGCAUGGCCAUAGAAUCCCUCCAACUAAAAGAACAUGCAAGAGCAACAUACCAAAGUGUCGACCACAGAUUUAAUUGUGCGGCCUCAAAACCCUUUGAAGGGUAUUUUUGUUAGUGAAUUUCAGAAUACUAUAAGUAGACGAAGAACACUUUUUUAGUGAAACUUUUGUACUGUAGCAGCAACUAGUGGUUAUAUUCAGCUAUUUUGUGCAACUUAGAGCAACAAUUAGAGAAGACCCAUUUAUUUUCUGCUUUGAUUUUAGUUUUAUGUCUUCAAUUACUUCUUCUUUCCAUUGUUUUAUGUCAAUUACUAUGAGUAGCUAGAUUUUAUCUAGGGUUUUGAUCCAACCCUAGUGUGUAAAACUUAUGGGUGUUUACUAUUAGAACUUGUUAUUGAUUAGGUGGAUGUUUCCCUGUUUAUGCUUUAUUCUUAGAAUUAAUGGUUGCAAACAAUUAUUCAUGCCUAUUUGACUUAGUUCUUUCCUAACAAAGAGGAAUUUAGUCUAGAAAAACUUGGCUAAUACGAAAUUGAACUACUUAACGUUUUGAUUAGUUUCAUUAAAGGAUUAGAACUAGAGAUAGGGAUAAUCCAACUUGGACUCAUAUUCAAUUGUUUAGAUUGCUACCAAUUUGGUCUUGAGAAAGCUAAUUUGGGCAUAAUCACUCUUUAACCGAGAGGUAUUGAGUGUGUACUUGAGCAUUGAGAGUAAUAACAAACCCCGAUCUACCAAGCAAGCAUAGAUUUACUCUACCCAUUAGGUAUACACCUAGGUUAAGGUUACAACCAUAGGCUUUUCCCUAUUUGAUAAAAACAUCAAAAUAUUUCAAUCAUUAUUUCCUCACUAGUUAGAUAAAUGUUUUAGUAGUUGAAUUAGAUAAGAGUUACCCACUUUCGUUUGGAAGAUAAAUAUAGCUAUUUUGAGUUUCUCUCUUGAGUGUUUACCUCAACACCACUUUAAACUCCAUGUGGAUUCGACCCUGACUCGCGUUGGGUUUUAUUAUUGUAGAGAUCGUUUCAUACUCCUUAAUUGGGUGUGAAUUAGACGUGAUCACCUGCUCCAAAGCAUCACGGACCAAAUAAGUGUCGAACAACCUAGCCUCCCCAGGCUCAAACCAACCAACCGGAGGACGACAUUGUCUCCCAUAUAAGGCCUCAUACGGAGCCAUCCUGAUACUAGAAUAAUAGCUGUUGUUGUAGGCAAAUUGUGCAAAUGGUAGAAACUGAUCCCAAGAUCCUCCAAAAUCAAUAACACAUGCUCGUAACAUGUCCUCCAAAAUUUGAAUAGUUAGCUCGGAUUGCCCAUCGGUCUGGGGAUGAAAUUUUGUGCUCAACUCGACCUGUGUGCCCAACUCACCCUGCAGUGCUCUCCAAAAAUGUUAUUUAAACUACCUGCCUCGAUCUGAGAUAAUAGACACAGGCACACCAUGAAAGUGAAGAAUCUCACCAAGAUAAAUCCGAGCUUGCUGCUCUGAAGAGUAGGUAGUCAUGACUAGAAUGAAGUGUGCAGACUUAGUCAAUCUAUCCAUAAUGACCUACACUGCAUCAAAUUUCCUCAAGGUCCGUGGAAGCCCAACUACAAAAUACAUAGUGAUACGCUCUUACUUCCACUCUGGAAUAUCAAGCCUCUGAAGCAGACCACCCGGUCCCUAGUGCUCGUACUUCACCUACUGACAGGUCACAAGUUGAGCACCAUACUCAACUAUAUCCUUCUUCAUCCUCCGCCACAAGUAGUUCUGCCUCAAAUAAUGGUACAUCUUCGCGGCCCCUGGAUGAAUGGAAUACCGUGAACUAUGGACCUCCUCAAGAAUCAACUCUCGCAACCUAUCAAUAUUUAGAACACAUAUCUGAUCUUGUAGCCUCAAUACCCUAUCAUCACCAAAGGUCACCUCCUUAGCAUCACCGUGUUGCACUGUGUACCUUAGGACAAGCAAGUGGGGAUCAUCAUAUUUACACACCUUGAUGCGCUCAAACAAGGACGACCGUGAUACAACACAAGCAAGAAUCCUACUAGGCUCCAAAAAUAUCCAACCUCACAACCGAUUGGACAAAGCCUGAACAUCCAAAGCCAACGGCCUCUCCCCAACUAGAAUAUAAGCAAGACUCCCCAUGCUCUCAGCCUUCCUACUCAAAGCAUCGGCCACCACAUUGGCCUUUCCCGGGUGAUAAAGAAUGGUGAUAUCAUAGUCCUUUAGUAGCUUUAACCAUCUCUGUUGGCUCAAGUUUAGAUCCUUUUGCGUGAAUAAGUGUUGGAGACUCCUGUGAUCCGUGAACACCUCAUAAAACACGCCGUAUAGAUAAUGCCUUCAAAUCUUGAGCGCGUGUACAAUGGCUGCUAACUCAAAAUCGUGCAAUGGGUAGUUCUUCUCAUGAGGCUUCAAUUAACGCGAAGCAGAACAAUCACUCUACCCUUCUGCAUCAACACACAUCCAAUGCCAAUCCGUGAACCAUCACAAUAGACAGUAUAAGAACCCGAUCUCGAAGGCAAAACUAGAACUGGAGUUGUAGUCAAGGCAGUCUUGAGCUUCUGAAAUAUAUCCACAUACCCAUAAGACCACAUGAAUGGGGCACCCUUCUGCGUCAAUUUAGUCGAUGGCACUGAUAUAUAUGAAAACCUCUCCAAGAAAUAGCAAUAAUACCCAUCCAACCCAAGGAAACUCUGGAUCUUAGUAGCAGUAGACGGUCUGGGCCAACUCUGAACUGCCUCAAUCUUCUUCGGAUGCCCCUUAAUCCCCUCACUGGACACUACGUGGCCCAAGAAUACCACCAAGUCUAACCAAAACUCACACUUGGAGAAUUUAGCAUAUAGCUUCUUCUCCCUCAAAAUUUGGAGCACGAUCCUCAAAUGGUUCUCAUGAUCCUCCCGAUUGGGAGAAUACACCAAUAUAUUAUCAAUGAAAACUAUGACGAAGAAACCCAAAUACGGCUGAAAUACACUGUUUAUCAAGUGCAUAAAAGUUGAUGGGGCAUUGGUUAGCCAAAAGACAUCACCAAGAUACUCAUAGUGCCUAUAACGACUGCUAAAGGCUGUCUUUAGAAUAUCUAAAGCCCUAAUCAUCAACUGAUGGUAACCCGAUCUCAAGUCAUUCUUCGAGAAUAGCUUAGCACCACGAAGCUGAUAAAACAAAUCAUCAAUACGCGGUAGUGGGUACUUGUUCUUGAGACUAACCUUGUUCAACUAUCUAUAGUCAAUGCACAUCCUCAUAGAACCAUCUUUAUUCUUCACAAAUAGUACCGGUGCACCCCAAGGUGAUACAGUAGGUCUGAUGAAACCCCUAUCAAGCAACUACUUUAACUGUUCCUUCCACAACAUCAACUAUAUUGGUGCCAUGCGAUAUGGUGGAAUAGAGAUGGGCUGAGUGUCUGGCACCAAAUUAAUAUCCCUAUCGGGUACCAUGCUUUGCAGGUCUGCAGGAAACACAUCUGGGAACUCCUUCACUACUGGGACUUACUCAACAGUAGGAGUAUUAGCACUAACAUCUCUAAUGAAGGCCAAAUAUGCCAAACACCCCUUCGCAACCAUCCGUUGAGCCUUCAAAUAUGAAAUCACUCUACUGGGAGCGUGCCCAAGCAAACCUCUCCAAUCCACCCUAGGCAAUUUUGGCAUUGCCAACGUCACGGUAUUAGCAUGACAAUCAAGAAUAGCAUGGUACAGAGAUAACCAAUCCAUGCCCAAAAUCACUUCAAAAUCAACCAUACUAAGCAAUAAAAGAUCAAAUCUAGUCUCAUAAUCCCCAAUGGUAAACACACACGACCGAUAUACACGAUCCACAAUAAUAGAAUCACACACCGGUGUAGAUACAUGAACAUGCAUAUCUAAAGAGUCACGAGUCAUAUCUAAAUAAUGAGAAAAUUAUGAUGGCACGUAAGAGUAAGUGGAACUAGGGUCAAAUAAUAUUGAAGCAUCCAUGUGGCACAGUGUAACAAUACAUGCGAUCAUGACAUCAAAAGUAGUUGCCUCUGGCCUGGCAAGAAAUGCAUAGCAAAGGGCCUAACCACCGCCUGAACGACCUCCCCUUCCAGGGCGGCCUCGAACUGACUCAGUCCCACCACUAGCUGGCUGUGAGGGUGGUAUAGCUACUGGUGCUAAAACCAUAGGCUACGUGCUUUGCUAUGGGACCCUACUCAGAAGUCUGUGGCUAUCUCUCUUGAGAUGACUCAAAUCCCCACACUCGAAACAACCUGCUUAUGGAACCCUGAGUAGAUGGAGUACGGUAAGAACUCUGUGCUGGCAGCAUAUUGAAUGAUGAGUGAACUGGGCGAGCACUGUAUGAACUAUGGCUAACUAAUGAACCACGAGAAAUCUAACGAGCUACUGAGCGGGCCUAAAUGGAUGACCUCUGUUGUGAUAAGACUGGCCUCCAGACGAGGCACCACCAAAACCACCUGAACCACGGGGCUUCUUUCCCCUCCCGCUCCUCUCCUCAAGCUUGCGAACAUGCUCCAAGCGCCUUUUAACCCAAACAUUAAUGUAGACCAUAGUUGUGGCCAUCAAUGAAUCUCCUGAUCUUCUCCCUCUAAGUGAAAAUCAACCAUACUGCAUGAUGUCCCAAAUUCGAGCAUCUCAUCUCGUACUUAUUCACAUUCAUACCCUCUUAGCGUUGCUGCUCAAACUCUCUAUGCAACCCCUCUUGCGAGUCUGUGGGCCAAACUUCUCUAAGAAGAGAACUGGAAAUUGAUGCCAUAUAAGUGGUGCUGUGCCAGCUAGUCUACAUGACUCAUAGGUCUACCACCAUCUAUAGGCUGCCCCUAUAAGCUGAACAGUAGUAAACUCAACAACACUGGUGUCCAUAAUCCUGCUGCGCGAAGAAUCCGAUGACAUCGAUCCUAAAAACUCUGAGCAUCCUCUGACUCUCCUCCACUAAACCGGGGAGGAUGAAGCCUCUAGAAGUGCUCUAACCUCUUGUGCUCCUCAUCAGUAAUAGAUGGACCAACCUCGGCCCGAGCAGCAACAACUGGCUGAACUAGAAACACCCUUGGUGUUUGAUAAGCAUGAGCUAGCUUCUCCGGUGUAUGGACGGCAAAAUUCUAGGCUCGUCCCCUAUCUUGUGAGGUAGCUGGUGCAACUGGUAUCAUACCCGCUAUAACCAAGCUCGUGUACGCACUAAAGAUCAAAGCCAAAGUCUCCUGAAGAUAAGGUAUAUCAAUAGGUAGCGCCGAUGUCUUUGCUGGUCCCUUCGACUCAAUAGUAUUGGAACCUGCUCCUCCACUGGAGCGAUUUGUGGCUCCAUAGGUGCUGUUCUAGAUAAAGUGCAAGCCCCACCACGGCCCCUACCUCGGCACCGACCUCUCGCGGACAUGACUGGUGGCACUGGUGCCUGUCUGCCCGAUCCGGCUUAACGUGUCAUCACUAUUUGUGAGAGAAUAGAAGAGUAAAGGUUCAAACUUCGGAAUUAAUAAAUUUGCAUGACAAAAAUGCAAGAAAUUGAUGUUUCCUAAUAGUUCGGUAGCCUCUCGAAGAUAAGUACAGACGUCUCCGUACCGAUCUGCAAGACUCUAAUCAACUUGCUCAUGACCUGUAGAACCUAUGAAUCCUAGUGCUAUGAUACCAGCUUGUCACGACCCAAAAUCACCUACCGAUCAUGAUGACGUCUAACUCACUUGUUAGGCAAGCCAAACAUAACAAAAGCGAAACAUAAAUACUGAAUUAACAGAAGUAGUACAAGUCUAAGGCCAUAACAUAAAUAAUAACGUCGAAAUACAGUGUCAUGAGCUCUAAGCAGAAGUACAAGUCUGGAAUAAAAAUAGCAAUAUUGUCUGAAUGAAAAUAAAAGUACGAAAGGAAAAGAGACGCCAAGACUGCGUUCGAGAUGCAACUCUACCUCUCUCUCAAAAGCUAAACUCACCAACAAGCCUCAGCUACUGAUGGCUCGGUCCAAUAUCUAGAUCUGCACAAUUAAGUGCAGGGUAUAGUAUGAGUACAACCGAUGUACUUAGCAAGUAUCAUAACUAACCUCGGCGAGGUAAUUGAAGCAAGAAUUAUUAGUGAUACUCGCUAUUCACAUGUAUAGUUCAUAAAUCUAACAAGUACAGAACAAUAAUAUGAUAAAGUCAUGAAUCAUAGAUAAAACAAUCUUAGUUCUCACAAUAGCUUGACAUUCUCUGCUCAGUCAACGAUCUAGCAUAUCUCAUACCGCGUGUACACCAUCAAGAGAGAAACAUGAGAGGGUGACCCUCGGGGAUGGAUUCAUAUCCACACGCUACACGGACAACUCAUGCAAUACACAGACAUCUCACGUGCCAACAAUAACAACUACACGAACAACUCACGUGCUACACGGAUAACUCACGUGCCAAUAAUGUCAAUAUCUCGGAUCCGCACGGGCAAUUCAUGUAUUGUACGGACAACUUACAUGCCAAUAGUAACAAUAUCUUAGAUUCGCACACACAAUUCACAUGAUGCACGGACAACUGAAGUGCUAAUAAUAACAAUAUCUCAGAUCCACACGGAUGAUGUUCGGCCAGAAAUGCAUAUAUUUACUCAUUGUUGCCUCACAUUCUAAUACUUUUAAUCGUCUUUUGAGUAUUAAUUAAAUUACUUUAUGCUUAAUAUUAUAUUUUAACUAUAUAGGAAUAAAGCGGUAUAAGGAUGAUGAAAUUUGGAGGGAAAAUAGUGAAGUUGAAUAAAAUGAGGUGCAACACGUCCACUAUAGUGAUGAAGGUUGACAAUUAAAAUGUGAACACCACUAAUAUUUGGAUGGAAGAUUACUAACCUGCAUGGAGAUAAAACAAAAAGUUAGAUAUUAUCUUUACUUGAGCUUACUACUAAAAACAAGCACGUAGCAUAAAAGGUUAAGGGAUAUUUGGACAAAAAUUGAAGGCAACAAAAUGAAUGCAAAGUUAGUUAGCAACCAAGGAUUUUAAGCAAGCAAAAACGCUUAUGCCUCCAGCGCUAGGCCAGCGCGAGGCGCUGGUCUGGACACUGUGGCAGGGAUGUUUUCCUAUUUCGCCCGAAAAAAGGUUAUUUCGACCCUACAUGGUCCUAACUCAUAUAAAAGGGUCAUAAACCUAAAUUGGAGGGGAUCUAACAUAUUUUUGGGAGGAGAACACGCUACUUUGGAGGGGAGAACAUAAACCACGCUUGGAGAUUUCAACUAGUUUUAUUCUCUUCUCUUCCUUUAAUCUCAUAGUUUGUUAGUUCUAGAGUUGUGGUGCUACGUGAAUGUUGUAGUUUGAAACUUGAAUUAUUCUUAUUAUUUUAUCAUAUUGGUAUAUUUAUUCAAUCUUGCGCUUGAUUAUUUGAUUGCUUAAUCACCAAUUAAAUACUAUCUACGAAUCUAGGAUUGAACUCGGGAGAGGGAAUUCUAGAUUGCAUAUAAGAUUGAGUAGAGCGAGAUCUUAAACCUGAAUAACGGGGAAUGGAUUUGCGGCUAGGAUAGGGAUAUAUCUAAUCACCUUUCUUGGUUAUUAUACAGGAAUUAUUAAUGUGUUCUUGUUAAUCCUAAUUCCUUAGGAAUAUAGGUGUUAGGUUAGAGUCUCUUGGAAGGCUGGUGCAGUAACAGGAGUCUCAGGUGCCUGCCCUCCAACUGGCACUACUGGUGGCUCCUCUAUAGAAGCUCAUGCGGGUCCUCUGGCUACACCACGUGGACGUCCUUGGCCCCUAUCCCAGCCCCGGCCUGUCGUGACUCUAGCAGGGGGCACGGGUGUCUGGUCCUAUGAUCCAGGUGUACGUGUCCUCACCAUCUGUUAGAGAAUAGAAAGACAGAAAUUUAUAAUCCGAAGUCAAAAUCUCGCACGAUAAGGAAUCAAAGAAGUGAAGCUUUUCCUAACAGUUCAAUAGCCUCCCGAAGAUAAGUACAGACAUCUCCGUACCGAUUAGUGAUACCCUACUAAACCUGCUUAUGACUCAUAACACAUAUGAACCUAGAGCUUUGAUACCAACUUGUCACGACCCCAAUUUCCCUUCAUGGGAUAUCGUGACGACACCUAGUCUCUAAGGCUAGGUAAGCUUAAACAAUAUGCGGAAACAUUAAAUAAGAGAUUUAAACUUGAACAUCCCAACAAUUUCAUAAAAGGAACCUACCAAAACUCAAUACAUAAAAUCCCAAAACAUGGUGAGAUAUAAGUCACAAGCUUUAAGUACAGAACCGAAUAAUCCUAUACAGCACUGUCUGCAAAAAUAUAAAUAAGUAAGAGAAGAACGGAAUAGAAGGGACUCUGAGGCCUACGGUCGCGGGCAGGUGUACCUUGAAGUCUCCAAGAAGCAACACAACGCACUAAUAUCGGGGCUGGUAAGAUGCACCUGGAUCUGCACAAAAAGAUGUGCAAAAGUAUAGUAUGAGUAGACCACAAUGGUACCCAGUAAGUGCCAAGCUUAACCUCAGUAGAGUAGUGACGAGGUCAAGUUAGGGCCCUAUCGGAAAUAAUAGGAAACAAGGCAGAAGAUAUAAUAAUAUAAUGAAAUGACUGGGAUGUGAACAAUGAGAAAUUACAAAAAGAUAACAACACAGCAAAUAAUGAUAAACAGCAGGGGCGCUCCCGAGGUACUACCUCAUAGUCCCAAAAGUAAAUACGCAAUAGGGGGCACUCCUGAGGUACCGCCUCGUAUUCCUAAAAGUAAAUAUGCAAUAGGGGCGCUCCCAAGGUAUCGUAUCAUAGUCCCAAAAGUAAAUAAACAACAGGGGGUGCUCCCGAGGUACCGCCUCGUAGUCCCAAAAGUAAAUAUACACAGAUAGCCGAUGGGACAAUGAAAUUACUGCAAGGAAUCCUACAGUUAAAGACUGAAUACAAAAUCAAGGAAGCAGGUAAUCCAACUAAGCAUGUUGCACAAAUUGCAAGUAAGAGAUAAGACAUGUAGACAUGCGACAUUAGGCUAAACAUGAUGGCUACACAUGCUAGAGUAACUCAUUUAAGGAAUUAAAAAGGAAAAUACUUAGCAAGAACCAGAUUUUUAACAUUUAACCCUAGUACGCACUCGUCACCUCGCGUACGACCUUGACGUAUUGCAAAUACCAUAACAGUACGAAUACCUAAGGGGAGUUUCCCCCACACAAGGUUAGACAAGUCACUUACCUCAAUCUCGCUCAAUCAAUCAAUAAGAAUGCCUUUCCCUCAACUUUGAAACUCCGAUCGGCUCGAAUCUAGCCAACACAAUUACAUACUAUAAAUAUAACUAUAAGAAACUAAUUUAAAUAAUAAAUCUACAACUUUAGCAAAGAAUUGAAAAAUUGCCCCAAAAAGUCGACCCGGGCCCAUGUCUCAGAACCCGACCAAAUUAUAAAAUUCGAACACCCAUUCGAUAUCGAGUCUAACCAUACAGGAAUUACUCAAAUCCCACCUAAAAUCACCUUUCAGAUCCCCAAAUUUUAGUCUAAGAAGUUUUCCCAAUAUUUCUUCAAAUUUCCAACUAAGAACACUAAUUAAAUGAUGAAAACAACAAUAGAUUCGUGUAAUAUAGCCAAAUCUGAGUGAGAAUUUCUUACCCCAAUGAUUUCCUUGCAAAUCUCUCGAAAAAGUGCCACAUACCGAGCUGUAUAAGUACAAAUAUCAAAGUGAGAUCAAACCCUCGAAAAUCCCCUUUUCUGCCCAGUUAAACCACUUUUAUGAUUCAUUUAGCCGCUUUUGCGGUCAGCCGACCGCAUUUGCGGAAAGUCACUGACGUUGACCAACUGCUUUUGCGGUUGCGAAUCCCGCUUCUGUGGGUGCGCAUCUGCGCAACCUCGUCCGCUUCGGCGGACCGGCCUCCCCAAGCUCUCUUCUGCUUCUGCGAUCAUCCUUACGCAGAAGCGACACCGCUUUUGUGACCUACUUGUCGCAACUGCAACCACUGGCCACCCUCUUCAGCCCCAUUUCUGCGCUUGCCCGCUCGCUUCUGCGAGCUCGCACCUGCGAGCAAAAUUCCACAGGUGAAAAUGCACCAGAAGGCAGAAUCCCAGCAAAUGCAUCAAGUCCAAAUAUGAUUCGUUAACCAUCCGGAAUCCACCCUAGCCCGCGGGACCUCAGCCAAAUAUACCAACCAGUCCUAAAAUAUCAUACAAACUUAGUCGAGCCCUGAAAUAACAUCAAACAACGCUUAAAAUAUGAAUCGCAUCGAUUCAAGCCUAAUGAAAUUUAGAACUUCUAACUUCUACAUUCGAUGCCAAUUCCUAUCAAAUCGAGUCCGAUUGACCUGUUGCACACAAGUCAUAAUUGACAUUACGGACAUACUCCAACUUCCGGAAUCGGAAUCCGACCCCGAUAUCAAAAAGUCCACUCCCAGUCAAACUUUCCAAAAAUCAUCCAAUUUUUCAACUUUUGCCAAUUAACGCCGAAAUGACCUACGGACCUCCAAAUCAACAUCUGAACACGCUCCUAAGGCCAAAAUCACCAUAUGGAGCUAUUGAAACCGUCAAAACUCCAUUCCAGAUUCGUCUUCACACAAUUCUAACUACAGUCAAUUCCGACGACUUAAACUUCCAUUUUAGGGACUACGUGUCCAAUUUUACCCCGAAACCAAAAACCAACCCUCCUAGAAAGUCACAUAACCACAGAAUGAAAUAGAGGGAGCAAUAAAUAGGGGUUCGGGGCUAAUACUCUCAAAACGACCGGCCGAAUCGUUACAUCUUCCCCCUCUUAAAACAAACGUUCGUCCUCGAACGAGUAUAGAGACAUACCUAAAGUGGUGAAAAGAUGAGGAUAAUGGCUGCACAUAUCAUGCUUGGUCUCCCAAGUCACCUCCUAGACCGGAUAACCCCUCCACUAAACCUUCACUGAAGCGAUGUUCUUUGACCUCAUCCUUCGAACCUGCCUAUCUAAAAUGACCACCGGCUCCUCGACAUAAGAUGAUCCUUGUCCAACUGGACUGUGCUGCAGUCUAACACAUGAGAUGGAUCGUCGUGAUAUUUCUGGAGCAUGGAACCAUAGAAUACUGGAUGAACUGCAGAGAGACUAGGUGGUAGUGCAAGUCUGUAAGCCACCUCUCUAACCCUCUCAAGAAUCUCAAAAGGCACGAUAUAUCUAGGGCUUAACUUUCCCUUCCUCCCGAACCUCAUAACACCCUUCACGGGAGAAACCCGGAACAAGACCCGCUCCCCAAUCAUGAAUGCAACUUCCCGAACCUUCCGAUCCGCAUAACCCUUCUACCUGGAUUGGGCAGUACGAAGUCAAUCCUGAAUCAAGUUAACCUUUUCCAAAGCAUCCUGAACCAAAUCUAUACCCAAUAGCCUAGCCUCACCCAACUCAAACCAACCUACUGGAGACCGACAACGUCUACCAUACAAAGCCUCAUACGGGGCCAUCUCAAUGCUAACCUGAUAAUUGUUGUUGUAGGAAAACUCCGCAAGUGGCAAGAAUUGAUCCCAAAACCCCCCAAAAUCCAUCACACACGCAUGAAGCAUAUCUUCCAAUAUCUGAAUAGUGCGCUCGGACUGUCCGUCCAUCUGAGGGUGAAAUGUUGUACUCAAAUCCACCCUAGUACCCAACUUAUAUUGUACUGCUCUCCAGAACCGCGAUGUAAACUGCAUACCCCGGUCAGAGAUGACAGAUACCGGCACUCCAUGCAGCCUGAAAAUAUCACGAAUGUAAACCUGAGCCAGCUGCUCCGAAGAGUAAGUAGUAACCAUAGGAAUGAAAUGAACCAACUUGGUCAAUCUAUCCACAAUCACCCAAACUGCAUCGAACUUCCUCUGAGUCCGUGGGAGCCCAACAACGAAAUCCAUAGUGAUCCGCUCCUAUUUCCACUCCAGAAUCUCUAGCUUCUGAAGCAAUCCACCUAGUCGCUGAUGCUCAUACUUCACCUGUUGACAAUUUAGGCACCGAGCUACAUACUCCACUAUGUCCUUCUUCAUCCGCCUCCAGCAAUAGUGCUGCCUCAAGUCCUGAUACAUUUUUGCGGCACUUGGAUGAAUGGAGUACCGCAAACUGUGAGCCUCCUGGAGAAUCAACUCAUGCAAGCCAUCUACAUUGGGCACACAUGGCAUGUCCUGCAUCCGUAAUACACCGUCAUCUCUAAUAGUGACUUCCUUGGCUUCACCAUGUUGAACCGUGUCCUUAAGGACAAGUAGAUGGGGGUCAUCAUACUGACUCUCCCUGAUACGAUCAUAAAGAGAAAACUGAGAAACCACACAAGCCAAGACUCUGCUCGGCUCGGAAACAUCCAAUCUGACGAGCUAGAUGGCCAAGGCCUGAGCAUCCAAGGCUAAAGGCCUCUCUGCUACUGGUAGAUAUGCUAAACUGCCCAAACUCUCCGCCUUGAGACUCAAGGCAUCGGCCACCACAUUGGCCUUCCUGAGAUGACAUAGAAUGGUGAUAUCAUAAUCCUUAAGCAACUCCAACCACCUCCGAUGCCGCAAGUUAAGAUCCUUCUAGUUAAACAGAUAUUGUAGACUCCGGUGAUCGGUAUAGACCUCACAAGGGACACCAUACAAAUAGUGUUGCCAGAUUUUUAACGCAUGAACAAUAGCUACUAACUCGAGGCCGUGGACAUGAUCAUUUUUCUCAUGCACCUUCAGUUGUCUAGACGCAUAGGCAAUCACAGUACCAUCCUGCAUCAACACCGCGGCUAGACCAAUGCGCGACACAUCACAAUACACUAUAUAGGACCCCGAACCAGUAGGCACUGCCAACACCAGAGUUGACAUCAAGGCCAUCUUGAGCUUUUAAAAGCUCUACUCACACUCCUAGGUCCACAUGAACUGUCAUACCCCGACCCCGGGGAGCGCGCCCAGUGCUCAACCGAGAUACCCCGGCCGGGCAAGCCUUCUAAAUGCCUUCUACACAACCUUGACCAUUAACAAUAUAAGAAUCAAUACAAGUGAUAGACAUGAGAAGAGUUAAGUAUUCCACAUUAUUUUUUCAUUACUAAAAAGGUAUUCAUGUACGAUUUCUAAAAUAUUACAAGUUUAUAGAUAUGAUGAAAAACAUGUUUACCAAAUACCAACACUCAGUAGUUUAAUUCCCAACAUCAAACACCACCCACAAAAUGUCAACGGAACCUCUAAGUAUAACAAAAGAGUAGUAUGGAAGUUCUGGCAACAACGCCCCGGCUAUAAAUCAAAACACAAUGUACAACAUCAAAUGACAUCAGGCCUGGAAUAGAGUAGGGCUCACCAAAACCUACUGAAAAGAGAGUAACUACUAACGAGGACCAAAGCUGCCCGCUAAUGAACCACCUGUAUCCAUUGAAGAUGCAGCGCCCACGGAAAAAAGGGACGUUAGUACAUAUAGAAUAGUACUAGUAUGUAAAGCUAAUUGUUCUCUUUCGAAAUAGAAUGCCAAUAACAGAAGGGGCAACACCAUCGAGAAACAAGUAACAAUCGAUGAUAUCCAAAUGCCAAGUUAAAACAUAACAAUUUUCAACAUUCGAAAAAUAUUAUAUAUUUUUGGUUGGGAGAUCAUUAGCACCUAUAUACCACCGUGUUUUUAGCACAGAGUCCGAUCACGCCCGAUCGGCAAAGCCAUAUCCCCACGAACAAUGUGGUUUGACAUGUGGUGUGAAAGAAAUAUGUUAUCAAGAGUAGUACCACCAUGUGCACAAAAUGGCGUUCGAUCUCUACCCGAUCGGCUAGGCCGCUUUCCCACAUAUGUCGUGUGGGUUGACUUUCCAAUUCACAGCAAAUAUCAACCCCAUCCCAAUUAAGGGGAAUAACCACUAUCAUAUCAAUAUUUCAAUCUCAUCCCAAACAAGGGGAAUAAUUACAAUCCACCCCUAUACUGGCACGUGUAGUUUCGGGUAUAUGCCUUAUGACCCACCCUUCCUCAGCUUGCUAAUGAUACUCCCAAAAACAUUUUUGGUUUGCACACGGAAAAACAAAAGCACAAAUAUAUUUUAUAUUCACCUCAUUACCUUUCACACUAUAUAUAGCCUCGUUAGUACCUUCAACCAUUCGCAACAUCAUUAUAAUUCCAUUGGCUCUCUUGGCCAUACUUAUGAUUCCUCAUCCCAAGGCACGGUGGUCGUAUCUUAUAUUCCACACUUUCAUUUUUUUUACUUUCAAGGAUUAUCGACAUAAAUAUCAACAUAUAGAAUAUUCCGGAAAUCACAACUUUAAGUUCAUUAGUAAUGAAGAUUUUAAACACAAUGGAUUUCUUUCCGAGAAAUGGAGUUAAAUGGUUGGAAAUCGAAGCACAAAUUAAAAUCAUAAACGAGUAACACAUCAUUUAUUCUUGAAAUACUUUUCCCAAAAAAGGCAAUACACAAUUUCAACUCACAAAUAUGUAACGGCUUAAAACACAUUGGAAAUACUUACAAAGCAUAACAUCAUUUAAAGCAGCCACAUUGGGGCAUGACUUGAGGACAUAAGCUUUUAGGCAAAUCUAUUUUCGAAGUCAAUUUGGAAUAGUUGAAUCAAGGCUCAUUUCAUAACCUUUCACACAUCACUUCAUUUCAUUGGCACCAUUGGCCACAAGUAUAAUUUUCAUUAUUGGCACCGUGACCACGUAUUACAUCUCCAACCCACUUCUUUCACUUUCAAGCAUCCUUAUAGAUUAUCAACAACAAGGUAUUUCAAAUCAAGACUUUAGGUACACAUAUGAGUAAUAGAAGUUUUAGAUGCAUGUAGUAUUAUUUCCAAGUUAUGCAUUAUGGACUCUCAUUUGAAACACGACUCAAAGCCAUAACAUUUUAAUACACAUAUAAUUCUUGAACACAUUCCCGAAGGAUAAUAUAAUGUGAUAGGAACAUUCGAAAAAUAUUUUGAAUAUAUAAUUCUCGACACUUUGCUUACUCGGGACAAUCGAAAUUAUUGGGAACAACUCGGAACAUGGGAAUAAAGAACUUAAGCCAACCAUACUUGAAACUUACGGGAACAUCAUGGAAUUCAAUUUUAAGAGAGUAGUUUAGCCAACAUACCUUGCUUGAGCUUUCCUUAAAUUACUACAAUGUUCCUGAAAUCCUAGCAACUUCGAUCUAUUUAGAAACAUAACAAAAUUGAACACAGAUUAGGAAGAUAUUCAUGGUUUUAGCUCGUUUGAGCAUUUUAUCAAACACUAGAUGCCCAAAUUUGAUUACAAGGUUCUUCCACAAGAUUUCCUUCACUCCACAACCUAACCUUUACCCACUUGAGCUCAACAAUCUUCCUACAAACCUUAUUGGUACAUGCAUGUAUAAAUAAUACUCUCACGCCUAAGAAUCAUACUCCCAAUCAAUCAUCUUUUACCCUAAUUCAAAAUUAUAAACUAGGGUAUGGAACCUUACCUCUUAGAUGAAGACCUUGUGAGCUUUCUUAUUGAAUUUCAAGGCUUGAGCAAGAUUUUGUUGAACAGUUACCUUAGGGAUUUCUCCUCUCACUCUAGGACACUUCCUCUCUCUAAAAAUAUCAGAUAUUCCCUUCAAAAAUGGUCCAUUACGUCUAUUUAUUGAGAUAGGGUCGGGUUAUAUAGAUAGAAGAAUGGAUCCUCCGAAAUUCAGACCGAGCUACAGACCAGGCUUCGCGAGAUCUGUAGCAAGCUACAGACCAGGCUUCGCGAGCUUUGUAGCGAGCUACAGACCAGGCUUCGUGAGGGAUACAUCACGGUCUAGCGUGCUACAGUCCAGGCUUCACGAGGGAUAUAGCAAGGUCUACCGUGCUACAGAUCAGGCUUCGCGAAGGAUAUAGCAUGGUCUGGCAUGCUAGGAGCUGGGCGACGCGAGGUUGAAAUGAUUCAACUCCCCCAACGCAUUGUUCAACCCAAAAAGUCCAAAAAUACAAUACAUUAGCCUACACAGAGUCUCCUCUGUAAUUGGACUUAUCCACAUGCCAGAGAAUAACCAAAACCACUCCUAACAACAUAUCCACAACUCGUCAAAGCAUCAUAAUAUAUAUACCAGCAGCACUAAUCUCACCAUUAUAGGCAUUAUAUUAUCAAAAGUGAUAUAUGAACAUGAGUUGCACAUAUUUAAAUCAUAACACAUAGAAAGUACCUUUCGAUCCACAAUCAUUUAACUAUGCAAUCAAGUGAGAACAUUUUCUUUCCUUAACACUUUCGGCCUUCGAGGUGGCCUCCUCAACACACAGACUUUGCCAUAACACACGAAGGAGGCAAUCUCAACUUCCGUACUUAUCGAACAAGGAUGAAAAUUAAGUACCUAUCAUAGGCCAAUUAUACAAUAACUUCACCUUCACUAGCUUUCACCGGAACGAUAGACAAAGGAUUUCCAACUACCUUCUUAGACAUAGACACAUGAAACACCGGGUACAUGGAGGACAAUGAUGGGGAAAUAUCAUACUCAUAGUUCGGCAUAUUUCCUUCAAGAUUUCAUAAGGCCUAAUGUGACUACACAUACUUUACCUUUAUUAGCAAAUUCACAUAAUAUCGUCAUGGAGAAAAUCCUGAGAAUAACAUGUUUACUUUCUUCAAAUCUAAAUCUCUACUGCGAACACCCAAACUAAAUCUUUGGCGACCUUCAACAAUUACUCUAAGAUGUGCUAGCAUGAAUAUAGCCAAAACUUUUCCUACCCAAUAUGUUUGAUCAUGGGAUGAUGCUUCUUCUUUGACAUGUUUGAACCUUCAACCUCCAUAGGUUUACUAUAAAUACGAACAACGAGGUUUUGAGUUUGAGCUGAAAUUAUUCAAGAAUCCAUCAAGGUGUUGAGUAGUGCAUUUCAGGAGGUUAUAUCCUAAGAGAUAUAAAGGUUACUACCAAUAGCACUGACAUAGUUAAUCAUUGUGAUGACAUCAUCGAUUCGACAAAUGAGGCAUAAAGUUGCCUAGUAGACGUUGAUAAAUUUGGAACCAUGUACAUGAUCUUAAGAUGUAAAGGAAGUGAGUCAUUUUAGACAUGUGAUAUAUGGGAGGCAUAAUCGGGAGGAUAAAGAGGUUAGCAUCAGUACUUCUUGGAAGACUAUGAGUUAUAAAAAGGGAUAGUAACAAUUGUUUCUUCCAUAUGUGCUUUGCUCGUCAAUAGUAAUCCCAAAGAAGAAAUAGCCAAGUACGUGACACCAGUCGUCUCCUGGAGUGUAGGGAAAAUCGGUUUAACUCAAAAUAAGAAGAUUCUUGCACCAUGAAUGUGAUAAAGAUUUCAAAAAUACAUGCAGUUGUGUUUUGCUCUUAACAGUAUUUUCCACAAGGAACUGCGCCCCAAGCCUACCAGGUUGAAAAAGAGAUUGAACAUUUGUGAAAUUAUUAUAAUUCGGGCAGCUUAACCCCUUCCCGAUAGUAGAUCUUAUAUGAGAGGACUAGGGACAUGAUAAACUUGUCUUUCAAAUCAAUAUACCCAUGAUAUAUGCCAAAAUCUGAAAGCAUCUAUUUUCAACCAUUCACGAGUGAAACCGCAUAGCUAGGACAUCUUAAUAUUGGGAUGAAAUCAUGUAUUGGUUAGAGAGAAUAAACACUUUGAUAUGAGCUGGACAUGUGUUUUUUCCAUAAUAACUCUCAAGGUGCAGUACUGGGUCACUUCAUGGGAAACUACAAUACUAGAAACAAAGUGAGUUACUCACUGAGGCAUGAUCUAGGUGGACAUGAACGUCAUACUAAGAUAGGCGAACAAAAAGGUCUUCCUGUGAUGAAAUCGUGAAAAUCUCAAAUUUCCCAGAAACUUUAUGCGGACAAGUGACCCCUUUCAAUUGACAUGUACACAUAUGAUAGGUGCUGAGAUAUGCUCUCAUGUUACUAGAAAGUGAAAAGGUUUCAUGAUAAUAUUCACAAAGGAGUAAAGUGACUGUUCAAACCAUAUGAGCCAUAUACACCGGAGAAAGAAAGAAUGGCUCAAGAAGGAUCUCCACACUAGGCUGUUUUACAUUAGAUUUGGUACCACAUAGGUAAAUAAUAUGAUGGUGCGUGUAUAGGCACAAGUGAGCGGAUGUUAUCCAUUCGAAUCACAAAGUUUUAUAAGAAAUUCAUCAGGUAUAGUCCCUUAUUAAGAAUUUAGGGAAGCAAGUGGGAAGUAUUAGCCUAGGGUUAUAACUCAAUUCAAGGAAAUAUAUAUAGAGUUCUAUUCCACAAGAGGAUGUAAAUAAGAGAAUUUGUGAUAGAGUGGCUUCACGAAUAAUGUGUCUCAUUCAUAAAGUAAGUACAUGCAAUGUUUGGUGAUUCAGAUUCUCGUUAAGACCAUACUUAUGCAGGCUCUCGAUAUAGAUGUACAUAUACAACAAGGAAAAGCAUGUGGUGUUCAGAAUGAUAUACUAAGGAGUGACUUACUUGGUAACUUUAGAUUGACGGGGCAGUGCCUUAACUGAUACCCCUCGACUCCAAAUCCGUAACAUACAUUGUUACCAUAGUGACAUACCCCUGAAUGACAUCUCCUACACUUCACACAACGAGGAUGAGGUCCGUUAACCUUACUCGCCCCACCGACCUGAUAUUUACCCUUUUUGCAUACAUCAUAAGCAUUUCCCCUAUCCUUCCUCUAGGACCCCGUGACGGGAUUAACAAUCUUUGCACCAACUCGCUGUAUGGGCUUUUUGAAUCGCCCAAUUCUACCACCCCUAACACGCUCCUGAGCAUACUCACAACACGACGCAAAAUGUUCCUGCCCGCAUAUCGGGCAGACCGGGAUGGGUGUACCCAACCUAAGGGCAUUUGUUCUUCUUGUGCCCCCUCUUUCCACAACCAUAACAUAUUUCAAGAAUCAUCCAACAUAAACCUGAGUGGCUCUUCUUUCAUAUCAAACAUUCCGGCUUAUUGAUGCCAAUAAUCCUCUUUCAUUUCUUAGGUGCUCUCACCAUAUAUUCCGGUGGCACGGUAACAUUAAUAGGAACAAGGACACUUCCCCUAGAAACUGGUUCUUUCAAUACCACCUCGCUGCUUCAAACCUAUGGGUUACUCAUAUGGAAAAUGAGACACGACAAGGAAAUUAGCUUCCUAUCUUGAGCUCUAUCGCACGAUCUGAAGUACCAAAGAAGGGUGACAUUCCUAAGUGCCCAAGUAGCCUCCUAAUUAUAGAUGUGGUCGACAAUACACCGAUANNNNNNNNNNNNNNNNNNNNNNNNNNNNNNNNNNNNNNNNNNNNNNNNNNNNNNNNNNNNNNNNNNNNNNNNNNNNNNNNNNNNNNNNNNNNNNNNNNNNNNNNNNNNNNNNNNNNNNNNNNNNNNNNNNNNNNNNNNNNNNNNNNNNNNNNNNNNNNNNNNNNNNNNNNNNNNNNNNNNNNNNNNNNNNNNNNNNNNNNNNNNNNNNNNNNNNNNNNNNNNNNNNNNNNNNNNNNNNNNNNNNNNNNNNNNNNNNNNNNNNNNNNNNNNNNNNNNNNNNNNNNNNNNNNNNNNNNNNNNNNNNNNNNNNNNNNNNNNNNNNNNNNNNNNNNNNNNNNNNNNNNNNNNNNNNNNNNNNNNNNNNNNNNNNNNNNNNNNNNNNNNNNNNNNNNNNNNNNNNNNNNNNNNNNNNNNNNNNNNNNNNNNNNNNNNNNNNNNNNNNNNNNNNNNNNNNNNNNNNNNNNNNNNNNNNNNNNNNNNNNNNNNNNNNNNNNNNNNNNNNNNNNNNNNNNNNNNNNNNNNNNNNNNNNNNNNNNNNNNNNNNNNNNNNNNNNNNNNNNNNNNNNNNNNNNNNNNNNNNNNNNNNNNNNNNNNNNNNNNNNNNNNNNNNNNNNNNNNNNNNNNNNNNNNNNNNNNNNNNNNNNNNNNNNNNNNNNNNNNNNNNNNNNNNNNNNNNNNNNNNNNNNNNNNNNNNNNNNNNNNNNNNNNNNNNNNNNNNNNNNNNNNNNNNNNNNNNNNNNNNNNNNNNNNNNNNNNNNNNNNNNNNNNNNNNNNNNNNNNNNNNNNNNNNNNNNNNNNNNNNNNNNNNNNNNNNNNNNNNNNNNNNNNNNNNNNNNNNNNNNNNNNNNNNNNNNNNNNNNNNNNNNNNNNNNNNNNNNNNNNNNNNNNNNNNNNNNNNNNNNNNNNNNNNNNNNNNNNNNNNNNNNNNNNNNNNNNNNNNNNNNNNNNNNNNNNNNNNNNNNNNNNNNNNNNNNNNNNNNNNNNNNNNNNNNNNNNNNNNNNNNNNNNNNNNNNNNNNNNNNNNNNNNNNNNNNNNNNNNNNNNNNNNNNNNNNNNNNNNNNNNNNNNNNNNNNNNNNNNNNNNNNNNNNNNNNNNNNNNNNNNNNNNNNNNNNNNNNNNNNNNNNNNNNNNNNNNNNNNNNNNNNNNNNNNNNNNNNNNNNNNNNNNNNNNNNNNNNNNNNNNNNNNNNNNNNNNNNNNNNNNNNNNNNNNNNNNNNNNNNNNNNNNNNNNNNNNNNNNNNNNNNNNNNNNNNNNNNNNNNNNNNNNNNNNNNNNNNNNNNNNNNNNNNNNNNNNNNNNNNNNNNNNNNNNNNNNNNNNNNNNNNNNNNNNNNNNNNNNNNNNNAUUCUCGACACUUUGCUUACUCGGGACAAUCGAAUUUAUUGGGAACAACUCGAAACAUAGGAAUAAGGAACUUGAGCCAACCAUACUUGAAACUUACGGGAACAUCAUGUAAUUCAAUUCUAAGAGAGAAGUUUAGCCAACAUACCUCGCUUGAGCUUUCCUUAAAUUACUACAAUGUUCCCGAAAUCUUAGCAACUUCGAUCUAUUUAGAAACAUAACAAAAUUGACCACAAAUUAGGAAGAUAUUCAUGGUUGCAGCUCGUUUGAGCAUUUUAUCAAACACUAGAUGCGCAAAUUUGAUUACAAGAUUCUUCCACAAGAUAUCCUUCAAUCCACAACCCAAUCUUUACCCAUUUGAGCUCAACAAUCUUCCCACAAACCUUAUUGGUAAAUGACUGUAUAAAUAAUACUCUCAAACCCAAUAAUCAUACUCCCAAUCAACCAUCUUUUACCCAAAUUUGAAAUUGAAAACUAGGGUAUGGAACCUUACCUCUUAGAUGAAGACUUUGUGAGCUUUCUUGUUGAAUUUCAAGGCUUAAGCAUGAUUUUGAUGAACAGUUAGCUUAGGGAUUUCUCCUCUCACUCUAGGGCACUUCCUCUCUCUAAAAAUAUCAGAUAUUCCCUUCAAAAAUGGUCCCUUACAUCUAUUUAUUGAGAUAGGGUCGGGUUAUAAAGAUUGAAGAAUGGAUCCUUCGAAAUCCGGACCGGGCUACAGACCAGGCUUCGCGAGCUCCGUAGCGAGCUACAGACUAGGUUUCAUGAGCUAUGUAGUGAGUUACAGACCAGGCUUCGCGAGGGAUACAUCAUGGUCUAGCGCGCUAUAGACCAGGCUUCGCGAGGUAUAUAGCACGGUCUACCGCGCUACAGACCAGGCUUCGCGAGGGAUAUAGCACGAUCUAGCGUGCUAGGAGCUUGGGGAUGCGAGGUCAAAAUGAUUCAACUCCCCAACGCAAUGUUCAACCCAAAAAGUCCGAAAAUACAAUACAUUAGCCUACAUAGGCACCACAGAACCUUAAAUUACUUAUCGAAAAUUUACGGGGCCUUACAUGAACGGAGCACCCUUCUGGGUUAGCCUGGUUAUAGGUGCUGCAAUAGACGAGAAACCCUCUACAAAUUGACGGUAAUACCCCGCUAAGACAAGAAAGCUCCGGAUCUCCAUAGUUGAGGGUGGUUUGGGCCAACUCUGCACUACUUCAAUCUUCUUCGGAUCUUCCUUGAUCCCCUCACUUGAUACUACAUGACCCAAAAAUGCCACUGAAUCUAGCCAGAAUUCACACUUCAAAAAUUUUGCAUACAACUUCUUUUCUCUCAGAGUCUAAAGCACAGUCCUCAAGUGCUUCUCACGAUCCUCCCACCUCCGGGAGUACACCAGAAUGUCAUCAAUAAACACAAUGAUGAACGAGUCAAGAUAGGGCUGAAAUACACUGUUCAUCAAGUGCAUGAAUGUGGCUGGGGUGUUGCUCAGCCCAAAAGACAUCAUAAGGAACUUGAAAUGACCAUACCGAGACCUAAAAGCAGUCUUCGGGAUAACUGGCUCCCAAUUCUUCAACUGAUGAUAGCAUGAAUGCAAGUUGAUCUUAGAGAACACUCUGUCACCCUAAAGCUGAUUAAAUGGGUCAUUAAUACGUGGCAAUGGAUAAUUGUUCUUCACUAUAACCUUGUUCAACUGGCGAUAAUCAAUACACAUCCGCACAAAACCAUCCUAGGCGAGACAGUAGGCCGAAUAAAUCCCUUAUCAAGCAACUCUUCCAACUGUUCCAUUAAAUCUUUCAACUCUGCUAGGCCAUACGAUAAGGUGGAAUAGAAAUGAGUUGUGUGCCCAGUAACAAAUCAAUACCAAAGUCGAUAUCUCUGUCGGGCGGCAUGCCUGGAAGAUCUUCUAGAAAUAAGUUUGGAUAAUCCCUCACUAUAGGAACUGACUCAACGGUAGGAGUGUCAGCUCUAGCAUCCCUCACAUAUGCCAGAUAUGCAUCACACCCCUUCUCAACCAUCCACCCAGCCUUUAGAAAUGAGAGAACUCUGCUAGGAACAUGAUCUAGGGUACCUAUCCACUCUAGCCACGGUAGGCCUGGCAUAACCAACGUCAAUGUCUUUGAGUGACAAUCAAGGAUAGCGUGGUUGGGCGACAACCAGUCCAUGCCUAAAAUAACAUCGAAAUCCACCAUUCUGAGCAGUAAUAAAUCGGCUCUGGUCUCAAAACCACUAAGAACAAUCAAAACACAACUGAUACACACAGUCAACAAUAAUAGAAUCACCCACAGGUAUAGACACAUAGACAUGAGAACUCACUGAAUCACGAGAUAUACCCAAAUACAGAGCAAAAUAAGACGAAACAUAGGAAUAAGUGGAGCUUGGAUCAAAUAAGACCGAUGCAUCUCUUUGACAGACCGGAACAAUACCUAUGAUGACAGAAUCAGAUGCAAUUGCCUCCGUCCUAGCAGGAAGGGCAUAAUAUCUAACCUGACCUCCCCCCUAGGGCGACCUCUACAUGUCUGACCUCCACCUCAAGCUGGCUGUGCAGGUGGAGUGGUAGCUGGUGUUGUAACCAUAGCCUGGGAACGUGGUGGAGCACGCGAUGCCUGAGUGGUCAGUGGAGAUGCACCCCUUCUGAGUCUAGGGCAAUCCCUCACCACAUGAUGAGUGUCCCCACAUUCAAAAUAAGCUCUUGGAGGACGUGGUUGUUAUGGCUGGCUCGGGCCUGAUCGGCUGGACUGAAAGCACUACAUGCAUGAGGUGCAUUAGACAAUGGCAGUGCAUAAUAAGGAGCCUGGGGUCUAGGAAUGGACGAAGCACCGCUGGCGGCUGGGAGUGUUGAAUGAAUAGGGCGACCCAUGUAGACCCUACCCUGACGAGCUGCAUCUAGGGCACGAGUGCCACUAUAUGUGCCAGACUCUCCAGACCUCUUGGCCUCUCUCUUCUCCCUCUCCCGAGUCAACAUACCAUCCAAUCUCCUAGAAAUCCCCACUACCUACUAGUAUGCGAUGUGCAUCUCCAACUCUCAGGUCAUGCUAAAUCUGAUAUUGGGGCUGAGCCCCUCAAUAAAUCGACGAACCCUCUCUCGAACAGUAGCAACCAAGGCUGGUGCAUGCCUUGCCAAAUAACUAAAUCGGACCGCAUACUCUGACAUGGUCAUAGAACCCUGGCGCAACUACUCAAACUCUGCGCUCCAUGUAUCUCUAACACUAUGGGGGACAUACUCCCUCAAGAACAUAUCUAAGAACUGAGUCCAAGUGAGUGAAGUUGCCUCGGCCAGACUACCCCACUCAUAUGCUCUCCAUCACUGAUAGGUUGCUCCUCUAAGCUAGAAUAUAGUGAAAGAAACCCCACUAGACUCCGUGACACCCAUAGUAUGGAGGAUACGGUGGCACUCCUCAUGAAAACCCUAGGCAUCCUCUGACGCCAAGCCACUGAAAGUAGGAGGGUGGUACUUGUUGUACCUCUCGAGCCUGAGCUGCUCCCCCUCAGAAACAGCUGCCCUAACCUCGGGCUGAACUGGAGCUACCGGCUGUAUCGGUAUGACCUCAGGAACCUAGUCGACCUGGACCCACUGCUCUGGGGUACGAGCGGUGAGAGUCUAUGCUCUUCCCCCAGCCUGAAAUGUGGCAGGAGCAAGUGGUAUCAAUCCUGCCUAAGCCAAGGUGCUGAACAUGCUUAGAAACUAGGCAAGAGUCUCCUAGAGGGCUGGUGCAGUAACAGGCAUCUCAGGUGCCUGCCCUCCAACUGGCGCUACUGGUGGCUCCUCUAUAGCAGCUCAUGCGGGUCCUCUGGCUACACCAUGUGGACGUCCUCGGCCUCUAUCCCGGCCCUGGCCUAUCGCGACUCUAAUAGGGGGCGUGGGUGUCUGGUCCUCUAAUCCAGUUGUACGUGUCCUCACCAUAUAUGAGAUAAUAGAAAGAUAGAAAUUUAGAAUCCGAAGUCAAAAUCUCGUAUGAUAAGGAAUCAAAGAAGUGAAGCUUUUCCUAAUAGUUCCAUAGCCUCCCUAAGAUAAGUACAGACGUCUCCGUACCGAUCCGUGAGACCCUACUAAACCUACUUGUGACUCAUAACACCUAUGAACCUAAGCUCUGAUACCAAUUUGUAACGACCUUUAUUUCCCUCUAUGGGAUAUCGUGACGACACCUAGUCUCUAAGACUAGGUAAGCCAAAACAAUACGCAGAAACAUUAAAUAAGAUAUUAAAACUUGAACAUCGCAACAAUUUCAUAAAAGAAUAUACCAAAACUCAAUACAUAAAAUCCCAAAACCUGGUGAGACAUAAGUCACAAGCUUUGAGUACAGUGUCGAAUAAUCAUAUAUCUCACCGUCUACAAAAAUAUAAAGAAAUAAGAGAAGAACAUAAUAGAAGGAGACUCCGAGGCCUGCGGUCGAGGGCAAGUGUACCUUGAAGUUUCCAAGUAGCAACACAACACACUAAUAUCGGGGCUGGUAAGAUGCACCUGGAUCUACACAAAAUGAUGUGUAGAAGUGUAGAAUUAGUACACCACAACGGUACCCAGUAAGUGUUAAGCCUAACCUCAGUAGAGUAGUGACGAGGUCAGGUCAGGGCCCUACUGAAAAUAAUAGGAAACAAUUCCGAAGAUAUAAUGAUAUAAUGAAAUGACUAGGAAGUGAACAAUGAGAAAUUAUAGAAAUAUAACAACACAGCAAAUAGAGGUAAACAGCAGGGGCGGUCCCAAGGUACUGCCUCGUAGUCCCAAAAGUAAAUACGUAAAAGGGGGCGCUCCUGAGGUACCGCCUCGUAGUCCCAAAAGUAAAUAUGCAACAGGGGCGCUCCCGAGGUACCGCCUCGUAGUCCCAAAAGUAAAUAUGCAAUAGGGGCGCUCCCGAGGUACUGCCUCGUAGUCCCAAAAGUAAAUACACAAUAAGGGAUGCUCCCGAGGUACUGCCUCGUAGUCGCAAAAGUAAAUAUGUACAUAUAGCCGAUGGGACAAUAAAAUUACAGCAAGGAAUCCUACAGUUAAAGACUAAAUACAAAAUCAAGAAAGCAGGUAAUCCAACUAAGCAUGUUGCACAAAUUGUAAGUAAGAGAUAAGACAUGUAAACAUACGACAUUAGGCUAAACAUGAUGGCUACACAUGCUAGAGUAACUCAGUUAAGGAAUUAAAAAGGAAACUACUUAGCAAGAACUGGAUUUUUAACAUUUAACCCGAGUACGCACUCGUCACCUCGCUUACAUGACCUUCACGUAUUGCAAAUACCAUAACAGUACCAAAACCUAAGGGGAGAUUCCCCCACACAAGGUUAGACAAGUCACUUACCUCAAUCUCGCUCAAUCAAUCAAUAAGAAUGUCUUUCCCUCGACUUUCCAACUCCGAUCGGCUCGAAUCUAGCCAGCACAAUUACAUACUAUGAAUAUAAUUAUAAGAAACUAAUUUAAAUAAUAAAUCUACGAGUUUAUUAAAGAAUUGAAAAAUCGUCCCAAAACGUAGACCCAGACCCACGUCUCAGAACCCGACCAACAUUAUAAACUCCAAACACCAAUUCGAUAUCGAUAUCAACCAUACAAGAAUUGCUCAAAUCCGACCUCAAAUCGCCUUUCAAAUCCCCAAAUUUUAGUCUAAGAUGUUUUCCCAAUUUUUCUUAAACUUUCCAACUAAGAACACUAAUUAAAUGAUGAAAACAACAAUAGAUUCGUGUAAUAUAGACAAAACCGAGUGAGAAUAUCUUACCCCAAUGGUUUCCUUGCAAAUCGCUUGAAACAUCGCCACAAACCGAGCUCUCUAGGUCCAAAAAUCAAAGUGAGAUCAAACCAUCGAAAACCCCCUUUUCUGCCUAGUUAAACCGCUUCUGGGAUUCAUUUAGCCGCUUUUGCGGUCAGCCAACUGCAUCUGUUGAAAGUCACUGACACUGACCAACCACUUCUGCAGUCGCAAAUCCUGCUUCUGCAGGUGCACAUCUGCGCAACCUCGUCCGCUUUUGCGGACCGGCCUCCCCAAGCUCUCUUCCGCUUCUGCGAUCAUCCUUCCGCAGAAGCGGCACUACUUCUGCGACCUCCUCAUCUCAUCUGCGACUACUGGACACCCUCUUCAACCCCGCUUCUGUGCUCACCCGCUCGCUUCUGCGAGCACGCACCUACGAGCAAAAUUUCGCAGGUGCGAAUGCACUAGAAGGCAGAAUCCCAGCAAAUGCUUCUAAUCCAAAUUUGAUCCGUUAACCAUCUGGAAUACACCUGAGGCCCCCGUGACCUCAACCAAAUAUACCAACUAGUCUUAAAACAUCAUACGAACUUAUUUGAGCUCUCAAAUCACACCAAACAAUGCUCAAACCAUGAAUUGCACAUUGAUUCAAGGCUAAUGAACUUUAGAACUUCUAACUUCUACAUUCGAUGCUGAAACCUAUCAAAUCGAGUCCGAUUGACCUCAAAUUUUACACACAAGUCAUAAUUGACAUUACAGACCUACUCCAACUUCCGGAAUCAGAAUCCGACCCUGAUAGCAAAAAGACCACUCCCAGUCAAACUUUCCAAAACUCAUCCAAUUUUUCAACUUUCGCCAAUUAACGCCGAAAUGACCUACGGACCUCCAAAUCAACAUCCGAACACGCUCCUAAGAUCAAAAUCACUAUACGGAGCUAUUGAAACUGUCAAAACUCUAUUCCGAUGUCGUCUUUAUACAAUUCAAACUACGGUCAAUUCCUACGACUUAAACUUUCAUUUUAGGGACUUCGUGUCCUAUUUCACUCCGAAACCAAAAACCGACCCUCCCCGGCAAGUCACGUAACCAUAGAAUGAAAUAGAGGAUGCAAUAAAUAGGGGUUCAAGUCUAAUACUCUCAAAACGACUGGCCGGGUCGUUACAUUUUAUUUUAGCUUAGUUUAAUAUUUUAUUAUCUUUGUUGACAUGGCAUCUUAGAAUGAGAAUUGGUUGAAUAUUGGUUAUUCUUAUUUUGGUAUUCCUUGUCUAUAUUGUAGAGGACCACACUUGUGGCAAAAUUGUGAGAAUAUUUUUUGGAGCGAGUUGGGUGUACCAUCUCAAUCUUAUGAGUUGAAUAUUUGUAAUGUGUGUGGUGGUCAAGGUGGCUAUUGCGAUGGUUGUCCUAAUUCUUAUUAUCGUUCUCUGAGCUUUUAUUAUGAUUUUUCUAAUAAUAUUUGUGAGUUUGAUAGGAGCUUUGAUGCGGAGGAUGUGGAACGCGUUGCUCAAAUUAUGGACAUGGUGAGGCAAGUAGCCGAGCAACAAGAUGAAAUUCAAAAAAUGACUGCCUUAGAAAUCAAAGUACUGCAGGCUAGAAUGGAAGAAUUAAUGGCCAAUUUUCAAGAACAACCUCAACUCGACGAAGAGAGAGAACUCUCACAAGAGGUAAAAGUUGAAGAAGCAGAUAUAGUGAGCCAAUCUUGGCUAGAGGAACACGCUCAGCUAAUAAAAUUUCACGGGGUUCUACGUAAUGGUCUUUCAAAUAUGACAGAACAGCUGAUAGAAGGAAGAACUGAGGUUAGGCAAGAGAUAGACCAAUAUCGCUCAACUAUCCAUGACCUGCAGGCUCAAUUGAAUAAAAAGAUUGAGGCGUCUGAUGCCCAACAACAAAUUAUUGUGGAUACUGCCCAGCUGGUGGAGCAAAAAGAAGAGUUCCAACUAUUCGACCAAAAUAUUAUUUAUGAUGCCAAGGUUAAGGAAGUGUGCAAAAGUGUGGAUGUUAAAAGUGAAGCAUUUUUAGUGUUGGAGCGUAUUGGACCUCAUUCUAAAUACUUUUCAACAAUGUGUAUGGAUAGUGAUAUUAGAAUUGAUCCAUUAGAGCCUGUGGAGGAGUCAAUGGAUGAGGAACAAAGUACAUAUAUUCUGGAAUUUGUGAUGCCAAGGAGACAAAACAAGCAUACCUCACUUAAGGUCCAAGAAGUGCAAGAUGCGAUAUAUAUUGCUUGGGUCUUUUAUUUUUACGCCACCGUCCCAGGAACGUGACAGAAAAAGUAAUGCAAAAUUGGGGGCGCAAAUCAUAUCCUCAAAGUGGAAGGAAAAGUGGUGAAAGUGAUGGCAUCAUGUUGCGACGUUAAAUCAAGCGCUUGUUGGGAUGCAACACAACUCUACUAUUUCUCUUAUUUUUGUUGAUUUUUUUAUUUUGUUAUUCUUUUGUAGUGUUAUUUUUGUAUUUUAUAGGAGUAGGAACAUGGAGUCAAAGCCAAUAAACGUGUGCAAAAGUGAGCAAGCGGUUGAAACUAAGUGUGAGGUACUCGCACAAAGGAUCAUACCUGGGAGAAGUCUGAAUAUCUCAUGAGCUACUAAUGCUUCGUCCUUUGGCCUACCAGAGAGUCUCUUUUACCUUCUUGUUAUUUAUAGUGUACAUUGAGGAUAUUGCACAAUUUUAAGUGUGGGGUGAGGAGAUUGUCUGGGUGAUUUUCUAUGUCAUCCUAGCUUAAUUGUAGUAUUCUUUCUUAGUAUAGUGACUUUUUUAUUUUAAAAAACAAAAAUGAAAAAACACAAUUCAUAAAAUUUAGUACUUUUCCCGACGAUGGAUCUUAUGGAUAACUUUCUUGAGGGAUUAAAGUCAAACAAAAAAAAUUACAAAAAAAAUUGAAAAACAAAAAAUUCAAAAACAUGUAUUUUAUUUUCCUUUAGGUGGUAAAUAUCUCCCGUGAUUUUUCUUUGUGCCUCGGUUCUUUUUCAUGGGAUGUAGUUUGAACCGGGUAGUAGUUCUUUUUCUUAGAGUAGAUUAGGAAUUUAGCAAAUAAAAGGAGGAAGAUUGAUGAACCUAGGUGCCCUUGACUUGUUUGAUAGUAGCAUAUUUAAGUUUUGGCAUGUGGAGUAUCUUUCCUAUGUUUUAAAAUUGGUCAUGAUUUCUUGAUGAAAUUGGAUAGCAUGUCUUGUGACGCCUACGUCUCUUUUACUUGACUAUUGUUCACUUUGUGCUUAAUGCUUAAUAUCUUGUGGCUUUGUGAAUACUUGCAUUAGUUUGAGAGUCGAAAUGGAACCGUCCAUGGUGUGUCAUGUUCCAUGUGUGAGUGAGUUUUUGUGUAGUCCAUGUUAUUGUGAUUGAGUGUAGAACUUACCCAGUAUGUGAGUUGAAGCGGAAUUUUAGGUGAUGCUCGGUUUGAAAAAUGAUUCUAGGCAUUGUUGCACCCUAUUUUGCACAAGUCAAAAUAAUGUAUAACUUAUAGUACUCUACAAUGUAAAUUAAAGUUUAGAGUCGCCACCUAGUAUUUAAGGUAUACUAGGACACCUAUACUACACUAUGUAAUGUACAUUUAAUUAUGGUCUGCAAAACCGUUGAAAUUUUAGGUAAGGGUUCAAUUUAUCUCGAGGGAAAGGUGUUAGGCAUCCCGCAAGAUCAACAAAAUGUGGUUCAGGUGGACUCAAUCAAAUAAAUGAGGGAAGGUUCAAAAGAAUGAUUAAUUUAAUAUUUACAAAGAAUCAUGAAAAUAAUUUGGAAUGAAGAAUGAUUGAAUGUGAAUGUCACAUGAUAAAACUAGGGAUAUUUAUGUGCAACAGAAUAUGUGCAAGGAUGUGGAUAAAAAAAGUAUGUGAAAGAGUUGAAUUUUUAAUGACUAAGUGAAGUGUAUCAUCAAGUAAAGUAUUUACAAAUUAACCAAAAUGACUUUAAGUUGAAAGGAAUAAUCUCAAAAGAAUUUAGUUAUAAUCAAGAUGAACUAUUAUAAGAAAACGUGUCUAGAAAAUGAUUGAUGAAGAGUAGAAAAAGGAAUUAUCUUUGGAUAGUUUUUACGUCAUGAAUAGGGUAAGAAGAGAGUUGAUUAAUAUUUAAAAGAAGAUUAUGAAAAUAAAUUAACUAAAGGACAAUUAAUUAUGGCAAAUGAAUAAUGAAAUAUGUUUAUAUUUAUGUACAUAUGUGGUAAAAAGUAAAUAACAAAAAUGUAUGAAUUGACUUUCAUUUUUGAAAUUGGUGCACAAGAUGUGAAGAAUACAAUUUAAUAUUUUAAAGAAUGGAUUAAGUAAGAAGGGAACAAUAUAUGAUUUGACUAAAAUAUAAAAUUAUUAAAAGAUAAUUAAUAAUUCAAGACAAGGUUAAAGAAACUACGAAUACUAUAUCUUGCACUUUAAUUUAAUGUAUGGAUUGUGAAAGAAAUUUGUUUAAUAUGAAUGAACAAGUAUAAGAAGUUGCUAAAGAAAGAAAAAUGUAAGAUAGCAUGUAGUGGUGAAUGAAAUAUUUGCAGAUUUGACCAAAUGAAUAUCAAUUGGAGAAUACACUUUAAAAGAAUUUAAUUUAUGUACAAAGAUUAACCCUUUAAGUGAAAAGCUAAAUGUAAAAAAAUAAAAUUUUACUCUAAAUGAUUAGCAAAAGGUAAAAAAAUAAUAAACUUUGAAUAACCUUAGUAUACAACGAAUAAGGUGAAAAAAUGAAUUUGAUGAAUAGAGAAUGAAUAUGGUGUAAGAAAAAUACAUCAACACGUUUGACAUAGAAAAUCAUCGCAUCAAUACAAAAAAUUAUUUGCGCCGAAAAUGAGUUAUCAUUUCAGUGAAUGACUAAAGGCCACCUUUAGAGUCAUGGUCUUGAAACACAACUUAUGUGAGCCAAACCCAAAUGACUACGAGGCCUAAUUCUCUCAAUUGAGGUACAAUAAUUCAAUUACAAAUUCUAUACAAUUAUAUCUAUUCGAAGUAUAGUAACUAAAGAAUAAUUUACAUAUAGAGAGGUUCGGGAAGCAUGCUAGUAUAACUUUAAGAACAUACAAUAAAAUGAUUUAUUUUUAUCUUUAUGAAAAGGGGAUGUCAUGUUUUUAUUUCGGAUAUACAGCCAACCUAAUUGAUUAUGUGAAUGUAAAUCCUAAUUAAUCAACCAAGUUAAAGAUAUGUUUGACACCCUAUGUGUCACGGCUCCAAAUUCUCUCCGUAGGUUAUCGUGACGGCACCUAGUCUCUAAGAUUAGGUAAGCCUAACAAUAUGCGGAAACAUUAAAUAAGAGAUUAAAACUUGAACAUCCCAAUAUUUUCAUAAAUAGAAUCUACCAAAACUCAGUAUGUACAAUCCCAAGACCUGGUGAGAUAUAAGUCACAAGCUCUAGCACUACUAGAAAAUAGGCCUAUGGCAACGCCACGAGUUCUGUUGCCAUAGGAAGGGAAACCGUUGCAAUAAACCUAGUGCCACGGUUUAGGGUUCGUUGAGAGAUCAUGCGUCGCAUAGGUCUAUGUUUAAGCAACGGUUUCUUGAUCGUUCCCAUAGGCACAUCUACCGCGACGGUUUUACUAUGAUCAAUUACAACGAUUAGUAGCGAGCUAUGGCAACGGUUUUUGAACCGCCGCUAUAUGUAUAUUACGACGGUUGAGAACCGUUGCUAUAUACAUUACAAUAUUUUUACACUGUUUUUGUUUUGUUUAUUGAAACGGUUAUUAAAGCUUAUGCAACAGUUAUAAUGAGCUACUGCAACGGUUAUAAGGAGCUACUGCAACGGUUGUUUGGUGCUAUUAACAGUUGUUAUGAGCUAUCGCAACAGGAUAAAUAUAUAAUACAUACACUGAAAUUAAUAUAUAAAUGAUGAAAUGAAAAUAUAUUCAUCAACAAAAUCAUAAUUCAAAAUACACAACCAAGAUAAAAGAAAAAUAUACGAUAAAAGUGUUUAAUAAUCCAAAAGUUGGCAUAUAUAAGUUUGCAAAAUAAUUCAAAAAUAAAAAUAUUCUUAGAUUGUCUGAAGAUUCUACAACCAAUAUCUUUAGGUAAGGUCUUCAUUGCUUUCAUGUUCCUCUUGAUCAUUUGGUUCUCCUGUAAAUUCAACAAGUUGCUAAAUUUGGUAGCUAUGGAUUAUGGGAUGCGUUUUUCAUAUUUUUCAAUACUUUGGUGGGCUUUUAUUGAACUUUCAGGAAUAGCACAACUUGUUAGAGAGUUCUCUGCAGUGUUUACUAACAACAAAUAAUAUGAAACAUUGUGACGUCGACCCAAACUCUAUUCUGCUAAAUUAUACUACAAUCUCCCCAACUAUCAGAAAAUAUUCAAAAAGCAGAAUGGAGAAAAGUUGUAUCUAAAUGUAAUCUUUUUUGUGAGGCAUAUAUUUUGAUGCCAAAUUAUCAAUUGUCAAAUACAUUUCUUGAUUUCAGCAGCAUAAAUAACUCAACUCUAUGUCGCAGAUUCACAACAUAAGAAGUUCUUCAGAUACAUACUCUUCUUCAUACUUGCCUCACUUAUUUUGGGUGAAAUACACAUAAAUUUUGGGAAAACAUAUGCAGAAACAUUGAGACCCCAUUUCAAAAACCAAUUAUUGCGCUUUGUCUCAUUGUAACAAAGGUAGAGGCUUUUGAUUGUAAACCACGGGUAAUAAUAAAAGCGAACAAAAAAUCACUAAUAUCAGCACCAGAUCCAAUUGCACACUAAAGAUGACAAAUAUAGAAAAGCUACCCUAAUAAUUUAUUUCCAAUUUGUCUUUUACUUGCAAAAUAAAUAAAUUAAUAAAUAAGUAUAUAAAAGGAAUGUUACCUAGUGUAAAUUUAAACUAGGUAAAAGCUCUAUGUCGAUGAAUGAGAGCAAAUAAGUAAGAAGAAAAAUUAGUUUUGAAGAAAGAGAGAGAUAGAGAGAGAAGAACCUCUUAAUCUCUUGGUUUCCCGUGAGCCUUUUCAGGUGGUAAGCGAUCUUUAGUGUCGACGGCAGCGUGCUAUCUCGUCUAGGGCUUGUAUCAAACUUUAGGCUUUUUGUUCUUUGUAUAUGUGUUAGGACUUUUAGUUUUUCUUUUGUUUUUCCUUCAGGCGCUUAGUCUCCCUUCUGUAAAAAAAAAAAAAAGGCGCGAUAAAGUUAUAAGAGGGAAAAUGGGAAGGGAAAGCACAACCGACCCAGUAGUCCUUUUUUUUUUUUCAGAAACCGUCGCCAAACAUGCAUCUAUUGCAAUAGUUCAGGGAACCGUCACUAUACAUCAAUCUACAGCGAUGGUUUAAUCCCUAAUGCAACAAUUUAUUUUGCUACCUAUCUCAGUAGGUCUGAGAGGAAUAUGCGACGGUUGCAACCGUAGCCAUAGAUAUUUUAUUGCAACGUUUACAUAACCGUUGCUAAAUAACUGUUGCGAUAGGUCUAUUUUCUAGUAGUGUAGAUAUAGUACCGAACAAUCCUAUAAAUCAUUGUCUAUCAAAAUGUAAAAAAAAUAAGAAAAGAAUGGGAUAGAAGGGGACUUCGAGGCCUGCGGGCAGGUUUACCUUGAAGUCUCCAAAGCAACAAUACAGGGCACUAAUAUUGAGGCUGAUAGGAUGUACCUGGAUCUGCACAAAACAUGCGCAAAAGCAUAGUAUGAAUACACCACAACGGUACCCAGUAAGUGCCAAGCUUAACCUCAGUAGAGUAGUGAUGAGGUCGGGUCAAGUCCCUACUGGGAUAAUAAGAAACAAGAUAGAGAUAAUCUAAUAUAAUGAAAAUGACAGGGAAGUGAACAACAAAGAAAUUACGGGAAAUAACAACACGGAAUCAAUGAAAGCUAAUACAACACGAAAGAAAAAUAAGAAUUUUACAUGUUAAGGAAAACAAUAACCAAAUAAUACAGCAAUUAAAGAAUAUCAGCAGGGGCACUCCCCAGGUACCGCCUCAUAGUCCCAAAUCGUAAAAACAAAUCAUAAUAUUUCCUUAUAUCACUGCGGGACCCUUUAUAUUUGGGUUUUGAAAACUAUUUUUCCGAAAUAACAUCCCGUGUUUUAGCCCACCUUAUCAUACCGUAUGGUCUCUAGUAGUUCCCCUACUAGCCAUGCGUAUCAAGCUCACCUUAUCACACCGUAUGUGUUUCAACACCCAGACCUUAUACCACCGCAUGCGUAUCAAUAAUCACAACGGCAUGGAAAAAACCUCGUGCAAUAAUAACAACCACACGGCAGAAACCUUAUGCAACAAUAACAGCAGCACGACAGAAACCUCAUGCAAACAACCAAACAAUCACCUCAACAAUAACACAAAAGCCAAAACAGAACAACUGAAUAAAUAGUAUUCCAAGGAUGGCAAUUUCAAGUAAAGAAUUUCCAUAGUUAAGUAAUGAAUACGGAAAUCAAGAAAAGCAAGUAAUUCAACUAAACAUCUUACACAAGUAGCAAGUAGGAGAUGCGACAAGUAGACAUGUGAAAUUAGGCUAAACAUGAUGACUAUAACGUGCUAAAAUAGCUCAAUUAAGGCAUGAAAAGGAAACUAUGUAGCAAAAAUCGUAAUUUCAACAUUUAGCCCGUGUACGCACUCGCCACCUUACGUACACAACCUUCACAUAUCACAAGUGAUCACCAAAAUACCAAAUCCUAAGGGGAAUUUCCCCCACGCAAGGUUAGAAAAGUCAUUUACCUCAAACCAAGCUCAAUCAAUCAAUUAGAAGGUCUUUUUCUCGAUUUUCCAACUCCGGACGACUCGAAUCUAGCCGAAAUAAUUUCAUACUAUAAAUAUAACUAUAGGAAACUAAUUUAAAUAAUGAAAUAAUGAACUUAGCUAAGAAUUGAAAAAUCGCUCCAAAAAGUCGACUCGGGCCCACGUCUUAGAACCCGACCAAAAACAUAAAAUCCGAAUACUCAUUCGAUAUUGAGUCCAACCAUACAAGAAUUAUCCAAAUCCGACUUCAUGUAGCCUUUCAAAACCCAAAAACUUGGUCUAAGAACUUUUACACUUUUCCCCCAAUUUUAAACUACAAAACCAUAAUUAAAAGGUGUAAUUAACAGUAGAUUCAUGGGAAUUAAUAAAAAACGAGUCAAGAAUUCUUACCCAAAUGCUUCCUCUGAAAAUCUCUUAAAAUCUCGCCUCAAUCCGAGCUCUCAAAGUCCCAGAAUGAAAAUGAAAUCAAACCCUCAAUUUUUCCCUUUUUGCCCAGUCUUUCCGCACCUGCGACAACUUAGCCGCAUAUGCGGUGUCGCAGAAGCGACAAUCCUUCCGCUUCUGUGGUGAAUCACUGGAACCAAGCCCUUGCGCCUGCGGAAAAUGCUCCGCUUCUGCGCAAACGCAGAUGCGACCAUCUUUCCGCUCCUACGAUGAACCCUCGCUUCUGCGCUCUACCUCUCCGCAUCUGCGACCAUAUAGGUGCGGACAAUCCUUCACGCCUGCGACCACAUCCUUUCUCACUCCUGACCGCAUCUGCACUUCCCAGCUUGCACUUGCGAUGAAAGCUCCGCAAGUGCGAUUGCACCAGAAGACUCCAGCAACAGCACCCCUUUUAACUCUAAACUUGAACCGAUAAUCAUCUGAGCUUCACCCGAGGCCCCCGAGACCUCAAACAAAUAUACCAACAAGUCCUAAAACACGAUACGAACUUAGUCGAGCCUUCAAAUCACCUCAAACAAUAUUAAAAAUAAAAAUCGCACCACAAUUCAAGCCUAAUGAACUUAUAAACUUUUAACUUCUACAUUCGAUGCCGAAACCUAUCAAAUCACGUCCGAUUGACCUCAAUUUUUGCAUACAAGUCAUAAAUGACAUUACGGACUUACUCUAACUUGCGGAAUUUGAAUCCAACCCCGAUAUCCAAAAGUUCACUCCCGGUCAAACUUUCUAAAAUCUUCCAACUUUCCAACUUUCGCCAAUUUAUGCCGAAACAAUCUACGGACCUUCAAACCGACAUCCGGACAUGCUCCUAAGACCAAAAUCACCAUACAGAGCUAUUGGAACUAACAAAACUCCAUUCCGGAAUCGUCUUUACUCAAGUCAAACUAUGGUCAACUCCUACGACUUAAACUUCCAAUUUAGGGACUAUAUAUGUGUCCCAUUUCGCUCUGAAAACCAAAAAUCAAAGCUCCCGGCAAGUCAUAUAACUAUAGUAUAACACAAAGAAAGCAAUAAAUAGGGGGUCAGGGUUAAUACUCUCAAAACGAUCGGCCGGGUCGUUACACUAAGUGUACAUACAAAUUAUGUGAAUUAUCCAAUGUACAACAUUACAAGUUACCCGAAUUAUUAACUAAAUGCAAUUCACCCUAAAUGUUUGGCAGGUAGAUAAAUAUCAAAGCAAGCAAGCAAAUACGACAUCUAUCUACUAUUUUACUAUAUUUUACGUUUUGAGUAUAUCCGAGAAUGAGAAGUACGAAGCGGGGAUUCUAUGAGGGUUCAUCUUCAAUCCUUCUCCAAAUAUCAUCUUUAGAAAGCGAUUUCAUAUGAUAGUACCCCGCAGGGCAAAACAAGUGAAAUUAUUUGUAAAAUAUAAAGUAAACAAUAAACUAAUUUAUUCUGAAAUGAUUUUAUUUGAAAAUAUUUUUGGGAAAUUAUUUUUGGAAAUAUUUUUGGGAAAUUAUUUUUGGAAAUAGUUUGAAAAUAUUUUUGGAAAAUUAUUUUUGGAAAAUAGUUUUGGAAAAUAGUUUAAAAAAAUAUAGGAGGCUCAGAUAUAUAUGUUUAAUAUCCCUCUAGACCUGAGAACGGGAACCGCCUUGGUUGCGACUCCGGUGGCCAACCGUGUCGCCCUUCAAAGGUUGUUGGUUCGCGUUCACGUCUUUUUAUUUUUUGAUAUUUAUCAUCAUUGCCUCGUUAUUUAGGGCCUAGUUCGGAGGGUCAUUCGGGGCGACGUGGCCUCAAAACAUUAUUCUCUUCGGCCUUAUAAUGUAGUAUUCAUUCAAAUCAAUGAAGUCACAACAGCAAUACCAAUAGCAGAGCAAGGAAACAAGCAGCGGCAACUAACAAAAGACGGAUUCAAUCACAACAUGGUUAUUACAGCAAGCAAGUAGAAAUGCCACCAAACCAACAGAAAAUAUAGCGACAGCACAGAUCAUAAACAAAUGUUGCCCCCUCGAAAUUAAAUGCGGUCGAACGGAACAGAGAGAGACUACUGGAAAAUUCACAAAAUAAACAGCAGCGACAAUGGAUCAAACGACCAAACGGAACAGUGGCACCAAUGGAAGGCAACGAGAUUAAACAACAACCGAAGCAAAUGAAACGGUAGUUCCAUAAAUUAAGCAGUCACUGGAAAAUAUGGUCAAAGGGUAGUGACCAAAUAGCGGUUCACUGAAAUAAAGUUUUUCGGUCCGUCGAGGUUUUACCAGCGGCACCUUUACACGUAAAUGACCGGCAAAAAUAACAAAAUACAACAAGAACACAACAAGAAUCGCCGGAGCAUUUCCGGUUAAAUUCUUUCAAGCCAAAAAAAUGCAAUUUUUGACUAGAUCUUUCUGGAUCUUGUUUCGUGCAUAGUUAGAUCUGUAAAUAAGAAUGAAGAAGAUGAGAAGAGACAUGGUCGCCGGUGGCAUCUAGGCGGCGGAAGCGAUAAAAUAGAAAGAGACGAUGGGAGAGAGAGCCAUCAUCUCAUUGCCGUGGAAUGGAGAGAAGUAACCGCCUGGCCGGUCACCACCUCCGGCAGCAGCGACUAGUGGUCAUGGGCGGCAGAAAUAGAGCAAAAGGGGGGUUGUUCUUGUUUUCGCCAAAUAAGAGAGAAAAAUGAGAUGAUAUUAAGUGGGUGUCGGCUAUGGAUUGUAGAAUGAGGGGUGUGUUAUGUUUUUAGGGUUUUGACCAUUUUUAUUAAGAGACCCCUUCUAAAAAUAUGAUAGUGUGUGCAUGUAUUUUUAAUACCAAAUUAUAACGACCCAACCGGUCAUUUUGAGAGUAUUAGCCUUGAUCCCCUAUUUAUUUCUCCCUUUUUUUCAUUCUAUGGUUACGUGACUUGCCCG
rnacentral:lncRNA from 1 species